GGAAACAGGAAGUACUGGUUGCCUUGACUAGUUGGUGAGUAUAGCACUAUAGUGGGCCCUGCAUGAUCUUCUUCUCUAUGCAGGCUAAAUAUUGGUAAAUAUUUUAUUUAUUUCCUUGAUAACUGGUGUAAUGACAGUAGAAACCAACAUGUUAUGUGAGUGGGUAUGUGCAGCAAGGUAGCUCAUGGGACAGCGGCCAUUUUGAGAUCAGUUGUAAGAAUUGCAGUGAGAAGUAUGUUUGUGCUCCACGUUUCUGUCUCCUGUGGCAUAGCUUAAUAAACUCUGUAGCAGCCAGUAUUAUUUAACAGGCAUGGAAGUUUGGAGUGGAUGCAUAGACAAAUCAAGUUUAUUGUUUUGUAAAUUGAGUCAGGUCAGGGAUUUUUUUCCAGCAGGAACUCGCCAGAACUCAGUUCCUGCACCUCUCAGUGGGCACCAUUGCUAUUCUAAGAGAACAAAGGAGGUGCUCAUGGUGAGUUCUGGCAUCUCUUUUUCUAGAAAAAUAGCAAUGAGUCAGGUAAACUUCAGGUGUGGCAAGAAUUGAAGCCUGUUGAUUCUCGCAGACUUAGUUUUGUUGGUCUGCAGUGAGGCAGACCAUAUAUACUAUAUCUUUAAAGAAUGCCUGAAGUACAGUGGUACCUCAGGUUAAGUACUUAAUUCGUUCCAGAGGUCCGUUCUUAACCUGAAACUGUUUUUAACCUGAAGCACCACUUUAGCUAAGGGGGCCUCCUGCUGCUGCCAUGCCGCCGGAGCACAAUUUCUGUUCUCAUCCUGAAGCAAAGUUCUUAACCCGAGGUAAUAUUUCUGGGUUAGUGGAGUCUGUAACCUUAAGCGUAUGUAACCUGAGGUACCACUGUAUAUUACUUCCCUCAAAAGAAUCUGGGCACUGUAGUUUGUUAAGGGUUGCAGCAAAUUGUCACCCUGUUAGGGGAAAACUGCAGUGCCUAGAAUUUGUUGAGGGAAGUAGUGUGCUUCGCAACCUAAAAAUACAUGUUAUGAGAAGAGAAAAGCAAGCCCAGGCACAAGUUUUCAAAGUUAACAGCCAGCCUCAGCAGUGGUCCGCGUCAAUCUGAUCUGGGAGAGGAGCAAGUGAAAAGGGCCAGGCCAGGAGGGCAGGGCAUCCACAGCUGCCUUGAGGGCAGUUAGGAUCCUUGCAGGAGGGGAUCGGCCAGCUACUUCCCCAUGGCAUCCAUGCCAGAAGGAGGCACAGCUGCUUUUCUGCCUCACACUCACCAGUUAAUGGCACACAGCUAGUUUGUCAGGAAAACGGGAGGCAACUAGGAGGCAACCCAGUCUUUAUCUGGAGAAUGUUCCUCUGCUUUUACGCUUUAAAGUUUAAAUGCCCCUGAAGCACCAAGUGAGAAAGCAGUUGCUAUGCCUCUCGCUCUGUUCCUCCACGGAGCACUUUGGCCACAGGCUAUGAGCGAAAUCCUGGGAGGCAGGUGUCAGAAAAAAGGCAGCAAUCCUAAGUGUUUGUGUACAGCUCAGCAUCAAUCAUCCUAGCAGCUUUUUAAAAGAUGGAAGAAAGCUCCAGAGUGGGUCCAGUUUGGAAAAUCAUUUGUGUUGAACGGGAAGGGAGGGUUAUUAUUGUUAUUUUUAAAGCCUACGUACUCUCAAGCUUUUUUCCCGUAGGGGUUAGAAAUGUGUGAGUUUCUCAAGAUACUAAAAUUCUGCACUGUUUGCUAGAUUCGCGAUGUGCACAGCUUCCUAAAGCCAUGGUUUUGAAGCUGUGAAGUAUGUAUGCAGACAUUGUGAACUUGCAUUGCAUGUCAUGGAUAAAUAUGAAAACCACAAGUCUCUGGCUAUGACUUCUCCUGGGGAAACUUGUGGCUGCAAUAUAAAUGUUUGCAGUUUGUGCAGAACAGAGAUAAGACAAUUAAAUAUUUAGCAAUCAAUCUAGAAACCAAUGUCCAUUUCUUCAUUUUGUGUUAUUGUUGGUUAACCAGCUGUCCACUGGCUUCCUUGAAAGAACUCUCAAUAAAAAUCCCCAAAAUUUAGAAAAAUCCUAUGAACAAACCUUAAUUGGCAUCGAGGCUUGACCUUGGAAUUCUUUUUUGUUAAGGGUACAGCAUUGGAAGUUGAGAGAAAACAUCACAAAGAGAGUGACACUGAAUAUGUAUGAACUUGCAGACUGUAAAGAACUUCCUUCCAUGGAUCUGGGACUAACAGGUUAAAUGGCACAAUUGUUAGUCAUUCCAGAGCUUUUGUAAACAUAUGAGUCAAAAUUUGCUAAAAGUGAUCCAGACAUAUGUUUUAUGUGCUAGAACUCUUUAUUCUAUGCAGAUGUAUUAGGGAGGAAUCUUAGUGGAAGUCAGUGCAACUUAUUUCUGGAUAAACAUAUGUAGAAAUGGGCUGGAAGAAGCUUUCUCUAAGCAGACACCUAGUAAUUUAUGUGCUAUCACCUAUUCAAGUUUUAGGGCUUUGCACUACAUGAAUGUGAAUAAAGUUUAAACUGACAGGAGUAGAAUCUAUGUGCUUGCUUUAGCUCUAAGGUACUUAUUCAUAUUGACUGGCAAUUGCUAUUAUUUUGAGACUGCCUCAGUAUAGGUCUGUCAGGGUUGCAGGAGUGAUAUUAUUGCAUAUGCCUUUUCACAGCAUCUAUUUUGAAUUCGGAGUAUAUCAUUUAUAAAUAAGGCACCUUCCCUCCUUCUUUUGAGUAGCUUGCUUAUGAUGUCUCCUACUCUUAACACUUGAACUAAAUGGAAUUGGGAUUUAAUAACCAUAAAAGUAAUGGAUCAAUUGGUCUUAAUAUAUAUAUUUAAAAUUGGUGGUGAUCCUUUUUAAAGAAAUCAAUAUAUAGUAGUGAUGGGAUGGAUGUUUCUUUAUAAUUCUGUGUUUGAACAAAAUAAGCAUGAGAUUUCUAGCUUCUUAAGUGCUGCCUCUGGCCAUUCACUCUGCCUUACAAGUGAAGGUUAUGAUUAAUGAGUCAACUGAUAAUGAAGGUAUAAGUAGCAAAAUGAGUGGUGUGCCUGGAGGCUGAUCAUCAAGAAUUUCAAGUGUGGCUAUAGCUAGUCUGUUGUAUGACAGAUUCCCAUACUGGCAUUUUAAAAUUUAUAUGCAAUAAAAGGUACCCACAAGCAAUUAAUAAAAACCAUUGCCAAUUUAAAUCCUCAGGAAGAAAAUAUUAACCAGAAUAGAUAUAUAUGGUUUGUGUGUGUGUAGCAAACUAGCCUAUUUCUGAAAGGCAUUAUAUCUAUAUAUACAGAAACCCGACCUUUUUGCCUCGCUCUGAAUUACUGUUAAAAGCCUUCUGGAGUAGCAGAUGAGAAGGACAGGCUGGUGCUACAGUGGGUGAGUUUUCCAAAUUUAUCUUUGUCAUGUCUUCUCCUAUGAAUGAAGCAACUGUCACAAUAGCUGCCAUGUAGGAGCCAAAGGCAAGAUGCACCAUGUUGCUGGUGGUUCUGCUUGGCUAGUAAUGUGCAGAUUUUAGUUGCACUGGAAAAAGUGCCUCUGACGUGAAUCAGAAAUUCAGCUCAGGUGGAAGCAAGGCAACCAAGCACAGAACUGUCAGUGGAUCAUUAUGGGCACCUUGGCUGCAGUGGACAAGUAGGGUGUACUGGAAUGGGGUGGGAAAGGAAGUUCUGUCACAUGUCAUUAGUUGAAUUUUCUCCCCCUCUCCUUUUUAUGCUUAUCACUAAUUAUAGCACAUAUUACACAGAAAAGGAAAAAUACUCUGUGCCGCUCUUUGUAGGCAAGAGUAAACACCAGUCUGUUUCAACAGAGCAACAUCCUUCAAGAUAUGGGAGUGGUUAAUCCUUGUUAGUUGUUAAGUAAGACAUACAUAAGAAGAACACAUAAACAUGUUUUUCAGAGAUAAACUCUUAUGUAUUUAUUUUAAAAAAAUUAUAAACCACUCAAUAUACAUCUAAGCAGUGAACUGGAUCAUAUAAAAAUACAUAAGAUAUAAAGAAAUCAUAGAAAUAUUGUGUUAUAGAUAGUAAUGGUUGCAAACUAAAAGCAACAAUUCUGCUGGGGACCUGAUUAAAAGGAGAGGUUUUUCAACAUGUGUCUACAACACAGAGUAGAAGACACCUGUCUAAUUGCCAAAGGGGCAGAAUUUCAAAAUGUUGGUGCAAGCACACCCUGAACAUGUUGGUGCCAGCACACCCUGAACGUGUGGCAUUGCCAGUAACUAGCACUAGCCCCUGGACCAAUCAAAAUAUACAUGAUCAGCUGUGUGAUUAAAAUAUAGAUUAUUUAAAGCAUUAAUUUUGUACAUUAAAUAGAGAGUUAUGCUAAUUAAAGUUAAUCAACUGAGAAUGGAGUCAGACCAACAUAAGCAAGCAGUUACAGCGAACAGCGCUCAUAUGUGAGUAGUAAACAUUAAAAUGAACAGUUACUGGCUUUAAGCCGUAACUGAGAUAGCUGAAAAUGAGAUCAAACAACAACUAAAAUACGCCAUACAUAAAAGAGAAUAGUAAAUGUGUGUCAAUGUGGCUUUGACUGCACAGCAGUACAGGAGGUGCCAAGUGAAGAAUGCAUAUGUUGUAGGCCUAGUGAGCACAUUUGCUAUCACUGUGACAAUUAAAGGCCCACAUCUCUUUCCCAUUGUGAUGCAUUUAAAAAGGACCAUGACUAUACAUGGGUUUUGUGGAAUACUUGACAUUAGAAACCAGUGGUCAAGUGAUAUGAACAUCCACUAAAAACUAGAGAGUAGGAACAGGACUUCAGUUCUUUCUUUCAUGUUUGAUGGCAGUAGAGCCUUUAGGCUGCAGUCCAUACACACACAGUAAGUCUAUUGGAACUUACUUCUGAACAGGUAUGUAUAAAAUUGUUAGUCUCUUGUCUCUCCACCACAAGAUGGCACCAGUACACAAUAGCUAUACCUGCUGGAUAGAUUUUUUUUUUUUUUAAGUAAAUGGUCAAUUUAUCACUCUAGCGUCUAUGUAGAGCUGUUUCUCAGUCUGUUGUUUUUGUAUUUAUGAAUAAUAGGAUUACUAUUAUUAUUAUUUCAUAACAUGAUAGCGGAUGGCAAAACCAGCUGGGUGAAUAUUGUCCUGCUAGCGCAUGCCACAUUGCUCUGCAUCAAAGACUACUCUGGAAAUGCAUAAUGAACAGCUAAGUGACACUAAUUAGAGCCUAAAAUCAUCAUCAUCAUCAAACCUUUAUUGGCAUCACUUACAAACAUUCAGAAUAAAUAGGCCAGUGCGAUCUUGUCGCCAUUUCAACAUUUGCCAAAGGGAAGAAGAGGGCCUAAAAAGCUGUGCGGCAGUGUUAUUUCUAUAGUUUACAUUGUUGGGACUAACUAUGGGCUUGUCUCUAAGACCUAUUUGGUGCACAUCACAAAUCAUGAGGACAUGCCAAAGAUCAAAGCGUAAGGAAAACUGAAGUCCCCUACAUCUAGAGUUGUGAUGCUAAAAUGGCAGAUCUUCAUUUUUAUUCUUUACAAGACAGUAAUCAUAGAAGCAGUCAUUCUACAGCUUCUGUCUGAACCCUUUUUCAGUGCCCCACUCAAAUUUCCUAUUGCUUAGUCCUUUUAAAACUCACGUGUAUUGGCUUCAGAUUUGUUCCCAGCUCCAUUCCACUUUGGCUUCCUGGGUAGGGAUCAGCAUGGACAGGUCAUUUGGUCCACUUUUUUGCGGACCCAAUAUGACAUGCGCAGGCUUGCUGUCAGUCACAUUAUGCACUGUUCCUCAUUUCACGAUGCAGUUUCAGUCCCCAAAAGUGUACACAAAACCAUGUAUUUUAUGUGAAAAAUGUGUUCAAAAUGCAUACAAUUUGUGUGUAUAUUUUUGUGCAUGCUCUUUUAGAAAACACACACACACACACAAAAUAAAAAUAAAAAAUGGGGCAGAACUGUGAGCAUUAGUGAAACUGACAAGGAACAGCUAAAAGCUGGUUCUUUAAUCUCUAUUCCUAGGUCAUCCCACCAUUCCCCAACCUGAUGUAGCACGGUAGGAGAGUAAGCAUAAAGAAGUCUUCUUAAAAAUCUGUUUGAGGCAGUAAGCUUCUCAGUCUUAUUUGUGCUCCCCGUGAUUAAUUCUGCAGAUGCUGCAAAUCCACGAUGCAUGCCUGCAGAUACUUAAUCGUGCCUUCAAAUGUUUUGGCAUCAUUGUGCCCAUGCCAAGAAUAAAAAUGUUUAUUCAUAAGUGUAUGUACAUCAUAGGGAGAAGGUACUUUCAUGUGCAUGCUGUGCUUGCUUAAUAUGUCUGAACAAAGCUGCAUCUUGAAUACUGUGCAUGUGACAGGCCUUUUUUGUUUGCUAUCAGAUCAACGUUUUUAGGAUGUUUCCUUUUCUGUGAUAAAUCUUGAACAUGGUCAAGAAUAAAUUUAGGGUCAAAAUAUGUUACAAUAGUUAAAUGCUAAUAGUCUCCUUUUUGCAGAGCUUCUUCAGGACUGUGUGGGAUUCACAGCAGACUGAAAUAUGUCCUUAGGGGUCUCCCUUUUACCAACCCCACCAAAUACAAAUUGAGCAGCUAUUUAGAAAUUCUGUCGGGGGGCCAUACAACAGGCCAUGCUUGGAAUAUGCCAAGAUACUGCUCCCAGUGACAAAAGGUGAAAUACUAUGAAAUACCACAAUUGGCAUGGGAUAGAACUGGGUAGCCUAGCCCCACUGCAGAGCUGAGAAGCACUAGGCUUUCAGCAUCUGAGGCACCCCACAACAGCAGCAUAUGGGGGUCUCAGAAAGGUCCCCCUCCAAAUAUGAGGGCAACACUAUCUAAGAACCAGAAAUCACUGCAGAUGCACGCUAACUAUCUAAAACAGAAGCUCUAUAUCACUUCUUCUCUCCCCUGGUACGGUUUCUUAAUACAAAAUAUGUGAUGUGACCAAAUUUCAUAUCCACUGAUCCAGGCAAAUGACAGUCAGUAGAAAGGUACGUAGGUCAGGGAAAGUUGUAGUGUGGUCAUAUCAAGGUGCAGCAAUACCAGCAAGCUGAACAGCAUUUCAAAAGUCUUCACUUUGAUCUAACGAGCUCAGUUUAGUUCUGCUCUAAUUGAUAAACGGAUGGAUUUGGAUACUCUGGUGACGGUGAAAUUGUCCAGAACGAAGAUGAAGCUGAGAAAUCAGUUUUUCAAGUGGGAGCACGAGAGGUUAGUUCUCAAAUUUAGUAUUUCUCCCAUGGUGUUCUGCCAGAUACACUGCGUGACAAAAAGGUGAUAUAUAUAAAUUCUGGAGAUAAGUAUAAAAAUAAGGAGAGCUGGCAGAUCUGCAUGUAAAGUGGGUUUCUUAUUUCCAUGCAUAUUGUUGGGGAUAUAGUUGGAGGUCUGUGGCUCAGGUGAAACAUACGACAAGUCUUCCGACAUCCAUCCUAAUUCAGUACGUUUUUGCAUAGUUUCGUUGGUUCUUGAGCCCCUGCAAUUGCACAAUUUGUUUUACUCAGUGGUUCAAAAUGCCCCCCCCCAGCCAAUCAAUGCUGUUAAUGAUUUAAAGUCCUGCUUUUGGUUUGAUGUUUAGCCUCAAAAAGAUAUGCUUUGAAGUCUCAGUGAUCAAAAAUGUCAUGCUGUGGGAAUUUGACCCUUGACAGGGUGGGAUUAAUUAUCAUGUCAGUGGAUCUGGAGAUUGAUUUACGCAUCACUCACAGGUCUUCCUCCCAUUUUUGUAUUUUUUGUUUGUGUGUGGCUGGUAGGGUUUUACAGUGUGAUCCACAAAUCACCUACAGUUGCCUUAUACACAUUUAAACUGUUCUAGUCCCUUUGAAUUUAGCUGGUUGUUGUUAACUUGCUUCAGUUCAAGGAUGCUGAUUUAAAUAGUUGUGAAUCACAGAAUCAUGUUCCUUGUCUUUUCAGCCCAAUUGAAUUAAUGUAUUAGCUUAAAACUGAUUGUAGGCCAACUUAAUGACCCUGUGGCAGAUGCACCUACACCUUGGACCUUGCACUUAAUGGUUUUUUUUAAAAAAAACCCCCAUCAAAGUGGGCUCUUUUUUUAGACAGCAUUGAUUAACUUGUGAAACAUGUAAUUAACAUUUCUCUUCUUACAUAUCACAAGCAGUUGUAAAUUAUGUAACAACAAAAAGCCAAAAGAAACAGUUGACCAACCCUGAUAAAAAUAGAAAUAUUAUGAGCAUGUUUAGAUAUUUUAUGCUCACCUAAGCAAAGCAGUAGCAUGACUUCAGGAAUAAAAUGGAGUUUGGUUCUGCUGCCUUAAUGCUAAAGACAUUGACUUGGAAAUAAGCACCAUUUUGUUGUAGGAAAGGAUAACAUAUUUAAAUGAAAAGCAAUAAAACAAGCAUUUGUAACUAUGUACAUGGCUGGCAGGACGCCCCUUGUCUAUAAAAUGUUUUAUGCCAGGUUUAGCACAGUGAUUUAGCUGUCUUCUCCAAAAAGUCACUUCCUUUACCACCACCAAUAAAACAUAUUUUCUCCAAAUAAACUGAAGUGGUUUUGCAGUAGUGGACUUUUUGAGCCCUCAGUGGUUUUCCUCCCAGGAUAUCUCUAGUUUUAUCUGCAGUUGCAGAAAUGGCCAGAUUCAGCACAGAAAUAAGUGCUUUCUUGUGAAGUAUUAUAUUGAACAGCAGCAAAUUUCAUUCAGAAACCAGUUCAUAAGUUCAACAAUACAGUAUCUUUAUAUGUGCCACUUAACUGCUGGUAUGGGACCCAAAUUUCUUUGUAUUUGAGGAAGGUCAGAUGGUUUAAUUGAUUUAUAAGGCUUCAUAUUAGACUCUUGUGCUUAUGUAUAGUUUAUCCAAUGAAUACAGAGUGAUGCUGUGAUCUACUUGGGUUGGUAUACUUAUAGUUGAACUGGUUGUAUCCAGAGAUUAAGAGCUGUUUUUUUCAUUAACUUCCCUUCAUGGAUGUCAUCUCCAUAGAGGAAAAUGUGUGCAUAUUAGGAUAGGGUAGUUCCUUUGUCUUGAAUAUUAGACUUGGCAAAUGAUAUACACAGUGGCUACCCAGCCCAUGGAUACACAUGGUAGAAAGGCAUAUUUAUCCUGAAUUGCAAACAAUAUAAUAUACAUAUUUUUAUUCUGAGAAGUUCCACUUUUUGUUGUAGCCCCAAAGUUCCUUAAGUGCAACAUGAUGGCUCAACUGUUUUAUGGAUCAAGCUUUUGCAUAACUUACUGCAUGCACCAAAAAUCAAAAGAGGGAGGCAUUGUUUUAAAGCAAAGCAGUGGUUAUUUCUAUGCAUUUUGAGAACUGUGUGCAGUGACUUUUGUCCUUUUCACCAGCAAACUUUUGCUAAACCAAUCCUGUGACAAACACUAUAUCCUAAAUCAUCACCUUCCAUUUUUCUCCAGUGAACCACAUAAAUCAUUUACCAGCCUACUCCUGCAUGGCCCAAAUCAUUUUGAAGUUUAUUACCAUUGCCUCUUAAAUUGACAAUGAUUCGCCCCUCCACUUUGUGCCAUUAUCCUUUUCUUUAUCACCUUGCUACAUAUUUUUUUUCCAGACCACUGACACAAAAAGUGAAUAAAACCAGCCUCGAUAGUAAUCUUUAUAACAUUUUCCAAGAGAGCAACUUUCAUCCCCCAAAUGCAAUGGAAUGAAUGUCAAAGAGAAGGUGGACUGGAUCCUGCCAUGCUUAAAAAAAUUGGUUCACUGGAAACUCUAGGUUUAAACAAAAAUGUGUGAUAAAUUUAUGUUACACAGAAAUUAAAUAGAUCUGGGACUUGGGAAAGUCAAUUUGGGUUUCAGUUAGACUUUCUUGGUUAUUGUUUGCAGUUUCUUCUGAGCAUGGGAAGUAUGUAAUGCUCUGUUCUCCUUGUAAAGUCAAUAAGAUUCUGUGUGUGGAAGCAGACAGAGAAACUGAAUGCUGGUUGAGGAAGAUCAGGAAGGCCAGGGAGAGCAAUGAGGCAGUUCCUGAGGGAAUGCUUGCUGCCUGAGCCCAGUAACAGAAGCAGGAUUUGCUCACAGCUUCUGACUCCCCAGAAGCAGCCUGAUGAAGGGUUUGGACAUGGGGAAGAAAGGGGCUGCUUUCAGGUGCGCAUCCUGCUCCUAUCCCUGUCUGCAGUCUUUACCACUCUUCCACUUCCCAGUGGGGGACUUGUGUUCCUGCUUCCUUCAUAUCUGUCAACUUGUCCUUAUACUGUUGUAUUUCAGAACUUUCUCUAUUUAGAUUACUUCAAGGCAAACUCGUACAAGGCUGAUGUCACAAUAGUCACUCAGAAGCUAUUAUUUGAUUGAUUGUCUCCCCUUCCGAAACAGGAGGGAUGAUGAGGGGCCAGCUGUCCUAAGUCUGGCAUUGCCCCACCAUCUCUUCAGCCUUGGAAUGUGCCGUCUGUAAUUUUAGUGACUGAAUUUGAAGAGUGACAUCUCCAAGUACCCAAUGCAUUUACUGAGACAUGCUUUCCAAUCCAUUCUGCUAAAGAGCCAGGGGGCUGCUUUGGUAUACACACUGCCAUGCUGUAGAGGCAGAGGCAUGUGGCCAAUUGGACAUUACUGUAUAGCACACACUAGCUAUAACGGCUUAAAUCAGGUAACUUUUUAUGCUUGGAAACUGGGCAAGUCACACUAGAGCUGGUUACAGCUGCACAGUCCAGGAUUGUGCUGCCAGUUUAUACGGAAAGUGACGCAGUUAUGCCAUCACACAUUAUGCUUUUUGCCAGCUGAAUCUAAGAUCCUUAUUACCACCUGCUGUUACAAUGCGAACAACUUUCGGGUAUGAGAAUGGGACUAAAGAUUAGGGAGAAAAUAAACACACAUAUCAAGAAGCACCCAGUCGACAUCCAAUGCAAUUAACAGCAUUAAUGAUUAGGAAGUUGAUAAUUUUAUCAUCCACUCCUCCUCCGUGAGCUAAGGUUUGUGUUCAUGGGGUUUUUAUUUCAAGUUAUUCAUGGUUUAGGUGAUAGCAUCCUCAUUUCCCAGUGAUUAAGUGAAGAUGUGACUUGCUGUUACAUUCAGUUGAAAUGGACAUUGCUUGAGACUUCUGCUAGCCCCUUCAACUGAAGAUUUUUUAAAAAUGCAUGUACAUUUCAUUUUGAAACCACUCUGAAAUUUUAUUUUUUAUUUUACAUCAGUCAAUCAACCUUUAUUAGCAUAUAGAGAAAACUGUAUAAAAGUCAACAAACAAAGUUUGGCAUCUGUUCAUAGGAGGAGAUACUGUGGGAGAAAACCAUACAGGCCUAGCAGGAUGAAGAAGAGCCAGUCUUAUGACAACGUAGUUUCAGUCUGCUACUUCCUCCAUGCUAUCAUGCCUGCAGCUAUUCAAUAAAAAGGAAAGCCUUUGGGAAUCAGAACAAUCUGACCACUCCUUCAGCAUGGGGCUCAAACAUUUGUUGCAGAUUACUACAUAAAAUAGACAGUGGAGUUUAUUUUACAUAAACUUUGUCUGGACAAGUAUAACGAUAUUUGGAAAAUGUUUAUAAAAAAUUUAGUAGGUUAUAAAUACAGAGUACCUCGGGUUAAGUACUUAAUUUGUUCCGGAGGUCUGUUCUUAACCUGAAACUGUUCUUAACCUGCGGUACCAUUUUAGCUAAUGGGGCCUCCCGCUGCUGCCAUGCCACCGCUGCACGAUUUCUGUUCUCAUCCUGAAGCAAAGUUCUUAACCUGAGGUACUAUUUCUGGGUUAGCGGAGUCUGUAACCUGAAGCGCCUGUAACUUGAAGCGUAUGUAACCCGAGGUAGCACUGUAACCAUCUAUCUAUUUGAAUAAUAAUAACAUUUACAUACUUACAUACCAGACAAACAUAUGGAAUUUUUGUUGUUUGCCUAUAUAGUGAUGUAAUAUGCCUUUUCUUUUCUUUUCUUUUUCUUUACUGUAUCCCCCCCCAUAUUCUGUUCAAUUGAAAUAUUCUCAAUAAAAAUUAAUAAUAAAAAGUAUGGUCAUAAUUUCUGUAUACUUGGAUUAUAAUUCAUGUGAUAUAAUGUAUGAAAAAAUUGGAAAUGUGAAUUGCUAAAUAUUUAAUUGAUUUGGCACAUAUCAUAAGUUUAGACAUAUCAUUUUCCUACAUUUAUAAAAAGGGAUUCAGAUUUAAAGUAGCUGACUGAGAAACCAGAGAGAUGUUCGUACUGAGUUAAUAAUGUUUUAAUCUUAGUGAUAGAUGAGAUUGGAUCUGAAAUCAAAAGAACUCUAUUAUCUGCAAAUAAACUGAUUUUUAUGUUGUGCACCAGAAACUUCAUAACCCUCAGUUUCUGAAUCCUCCCUCACUGCUGUUGCUAGAGGCUCCAUUGCAUGAGUAAAAAACAACGGUGAGAAAGGACAUCCUUGUUUAGUACCUAGAGCCAGUGUGGUGUAGUGGUUAAGAGUGGUAGUCUCGUAAUCUGGGGAACCGGGUUCGCGUCCCUGCUCCUCCACAUGCAGCUGCUGGGUGACCUUGGGCUAGUCACACUUCUUUGCAGUCUCUCAGCCUCACUCACCUCACAGAGUGUUUGUUGUGGGGGAGAAAGGGAAAGGAGAAUGUUAGCCGCUUUGAGAAUCCUGAAGGGGAGUGAAAGGCGGGAUAUCAAAUCCAAACUCCUCCUCUUCUUCUAUUUUCAUUUUAAUAUUGAUCUUACAUUUUCUUAACACACUAAUAUUGGAUAUAUCACUGCAACAGGUAUUGUAUACGAACUUAGUUCUCUGGUUUUGCAGUCUAUGUCACAUUAUUACAGUGGGUCCAAGGGUAUCAGACAACCUAAAAUAUUUUCUAGUGACAUAUAUAAUUUCCCUCCAAUAUGCUUUUGCUAAAGAAUAGAUGUACCCAGCGGCGGUGCAUAUGCCUGCGCUGCCCAAGGCGGGCACACUCCCGAGGGGGGGAUGGCAUGGAGGGUGCCCUCCCAGGCACGGGAUAGCCGCUCAGGUGCCCAGAGUGGCGUGCAGGCCCUGCAGCCAGGGACGGAGCAAGCUGCCCACGGGGGCAGAGCGAGCCGCCCAUGGUGGACAUUCGGUGUGUCGCCCGCCCGUGACUCCCAAGCCUCCCCCAAGCUGUCAAAACAUAUGAGGAAGGGGGGAAAGCUGCCGGCAAAGUGGCACAGCUCCCUCCUUACCACAAUGGCUCGGGGUAGGCUUGGGAGUCGUGGGCGGCAUGCCAAAUGUCACCCCCUCAGUGGGGGCACCCAGGGUAGUCGGCCCCCACCGCCUCCCCUUCCUACGCCCCUGGAUGUACUACAUAUGGAAAAUAUCUGCCCAUUUUAAAGUUUUCAGCAAAGGUGCUAUGUCUGCAAUUGAUUUUGCUUUUCUUGGCUGGAGUAACAUACCAUUUAAAUACCAUUUGGAAGUAAUUUUCUCUAAUAUUCAUAUUUAAUGAGUAACUAUGUUCUAGGUUUCAUAAAUAUUCCCAUAGAUGCAUAUGAAUAUUGAUGCUAACAUCUUGGGCCCAUCACACUAUAAACUCGUUCACCUCUUCUAACUCUGCUUCAUAUUGAAGCAAUGAAAUAUAUAUAUUAGAAAUAAUACAUUUGUCAUGCUUUAUUUUUUUAAAUUUCAAAAUCUGGAACAUUUUUAUAUGAAUAUAGUUCAUAAACAAAUACCAACCAUGUUUCUCAAAUUUGAAACUAUUCAAACAGGCGAGGUCCCCCCCUUUAAAUCUUAUUUUAAUAUCAAUAUAUGAGAAUACCUUAUUAUGUGGAAAUUAAUUUUAAAAACUUUGUGCUUUUGAAGUCUUAAAGUCAGGAUUAUCAGAUAUAAAUACAACAAGCAACAUUGCUGGACAUAGCCAACUGAGUCAUACUCAGAGUCAGUCCAUUAAAACCAACAGACAUUGACUUCAAUGGGUCUACUGUGGGUAUGGCUAAUAUUGAAACCACCCUUUAUAUUUGCCUUCCCUGCACUAAUAUAAAACAUUUUUUAUUUUUUUACUAAUGGUGGUCUUAAUCAAUUAUCUAUAAAGUAAGGCUUAAAAAGCAAACUUCAGUAUUGUUUAGGCAACACUGUGUUGGUGCAGAAGCUGAUGCUCAGCAUCUGCAAUAAAACUGUAAUAGUUUAUGCUUUUGGAUAGCAGUGACUUUAGCCUGAAACUGCAUUCCAGCACACUUACCUAGGGACUCAGCUACAUUCGUAAAGAUAAAGCGCUCUAUAUGCGUUAUAACACUGUGACACCAGAUGGUGCUGUGGGUUCCUGUCUUUCGCCAACAGGAUUUCUCUGCAUGAAGUUUACAACACGUUUAACUGAAUCGUUUUUUUUGAUGUGUCUAGAUCCAACCUAGGAGUAAAUCUAACUGAACUCAGGGCAUGUUUCUGAGUAGAUGUGCACACAACUGCAUUUUAAACUAUGUUCCAGUUUUUCUAUUUACUAGUUCUUAAUUAUUUAGAAUCUACCGUUCUAACAUGAUGUCCUUAUGACCUAAGUCUAAUUAUUCAGCUUUACUACCAUUAGGAUUUUAAGCUUUGCAAAUUCCAUUGACAUUUGGAUUGAGUUGUCAGUAAUGAAGUCAAAAUUAUUAAGGUUUUGCUUUUGUUUGGAAUAUUUGUUAGCUCAGUUUGGGGCAAAAGAGAUGUACCACUCCCCCAGGCCACUGCAGUAAUGUUGCCAGAUACGCUAAAAUUAAUUAAACUGAUUCUGGGUUACAAUUUUAAUUAGUUUGAAGUGGGAAAAUUAAACAAGCAGAGUUUUCUGUUUUAGCAUCUGUAAUAGCUCUGAAUGUUAAUAUGGUGAAUAAAAUUCCAACUUCAGCCUUGAAACCAUUGUAAUAGAUUAAUUUUGUUUUAGGUGGGUAGGUAGGCCCACCACAGGAGCACACAGGGGUAGUGUGUGUGGCGAAAUUGGAAAGAGUCGGAAGAGAAAGAAAAUGGAUAAGAAAAAACACAAGCCAAAGAAACAAAAAGGAAACACUGGUCUAUAGUGGACAAGCAAGUCAUUUCUAGGGAAUGUUUUUAAACCAGUGUCUAAAGAGCUACUUCAGAGUCAACCAGAAGUGUGUGCAUAUCUAAUGGUAGAUAUGACUUUUCCCUUCUUUGAACAGGAGACUGUUGUAAACUGUUCUUGAAACCUCAGUUUCAAAAGCAACUUUCCACAUUGAUUUUACGGGCAGGGGGACAAGUCUAAAGGGCCCAUGGCCUCAUGGAACUAUUUGUUUGGCUCUUUAGUUACCUAAAGCCCUUACUUCUAUAACUUUUGCCUAUUUAUCUUGUUUCCCCUGGGAAGAUAAGUGCCACUUCAAACAUGUUUAAUUUCCUACUGGGAUAGCAGUUCUAAGUUUUAAGACUUUGUACGUCAUCUGUAACCAUCCUGCACAGCAGUUGUGUGCACACUGAUUUUGCUGUCUGCACAUGCGCAGGGAAGUCAUUUGUCAGUUUUUCAGGGAGUGGCAGUGCAAUCAGAUAGACAUACAACACACACGCCACAGUCUAUAUGCGGCUUGUGCUGUUUUCCAACCUGCAAGUGCUGUCUGUGCAGGACACUCAUUCCAUAUCAAGUGGUCCCAGGUGAAUCAGUAAAAUAAAUUACAUUGAUAGAAAAUGAAUGUUCUUGCCUCUAUAGCACUCCCACAUGAUAUUUGCAAGAGUAGCACAGGUUGAAUUGGUUUUGAAUAAUUCACAUCAACGUUAUUUGCCCACCUGUUCCUAUCAGUGUUUGGAGCAGAUGUUCGUUGUGUGAGCUGAAAGUUUCAGAAUACAGUGUGCUGUUAUUUCCUGGAAAGUUAAUAGUUCCACUUUGAUUUGUCAAGAAGGAAUUAAGAUUCUCAACCCUCCCACUUAUUCCUGGCCUGAGGUUUUUUCCAAUCUGCAUAUAUUCUCAAUUCUGCAUGUGGUUGUCUUGUCCUUCCUCUGGUUGGAAAGUUUCUCUUCUUGAGAUAUUUCUUGCUCUGUUAGAGAAAGCAAAUUAGGUUUCCAGUAGUUGUUUUAAGCAGUAUAUUUUCUUGCCUCUUCAUUUGAUAAUUGAGGUUGAACUUGGGAAACUUUUAUUAGCAAUUCAUUAUUUGGAAUUCACUUCAACCAUGUUGCAGCAUGGUGAUUAUGUAAAUCUAGAUAUGAGGGCAUACAUGAUGUAUAUCAUUCAUAUAUAUGACUCUUGGCUGUGCCCCUGCUCACUCUUCUUGCCAGUCCCUACUCCACAUCCAUCCCCUAGAGUCUCCCAUUCCCACCCAUGCAACUACUAAGCUGUCUUUUCCCCUUUCUAGCUGCAUUUCUGAAGCUACACCUCCCUUCUGUUCUACAGCCCUGUUCUACACACAUUUUCAACUUCACAUCCAUGCCUCUGAUCUGCCUUCUUUUCUGCAGCACCCCUCACACACAGACCACCCCAUGGUGAUCUCCUAAAUCUUCCUCCUCCCCAGACGUUGAAGCUACUAGACAUCCAAAGCUGGAACUCACUGGAACUCAUUUCUGGCACCUCUCAAGUGGGCACCAUUGCCAUUGUAAGAGAAUAAGGGAGGCAUUCAUGGUGAGUUCCAGCACCUCUUUUUCUAGAAAAAUAAAACUGUAGACACCCCUUUUACCUGCCCAGCUAUGAAGCCAUCAUAGCCUCCUAUUCUGCAUCACCUUUCAUACCACCACUUUCAUCUUCAGCCAUUACUGAUUGGAACCAGCCAUGUUCCAACAUUAUUUGCUUCAUUUAAAAUACCUUUAGCUUUCAGAAGUGAUGUUAUUAUAAUAAACUGUGUGCUUUUGGGAAAGUAUUUGAGAUUACUGAGUUAUCAGAGUGCACAAUAUAGAUUUACUGUACUCUUUAAUUUAAGGUAUGCAGCAGUGUGUGGGUGGGUUUAUCCAUAUACAAUUUUUGCUGCUAUCCAAAGCAUCCACUGUUUUGGUAAUUUAGUCCAAAAUCCUGAAAUUGCUGUAUGCAAAACAAAAAACAAACCAUCUAUUAGUAACAGAGAAGGAAAUUGCUCCUCAAACUUUCAGAACUAGUUUUCUAAUAGCUGUGGACGGGGAUUUUGCACACAGGUCACAAUGGAAUGGUGCUGGUUUGCGAUAUUGCUAGAGGCAGAGGUACCACUGUAUGGCCCUGCAGGAUUUGACAUCUUUCUGCAGGGCCUGCAAGACUGAGCUGUUCCCCCUGGCCUUUGGCUUAGACUCACUCUGAUCCCUUUUAUGGGAUUUGGUAUAUAAAUUUUCCCUUGGCUUUUUUGCUGGCCCAUGUAGGACCAGCAUUGGAUAGCUGGCUUGGGUGAAUAUCUGAUGUUUCCUCCCUUUAUGGUCUUGAUUUAUGGGCUACUACUAAAAUGAGGGUGUAUUUUAAGCUGUAUUUUAAGCCGUAUUUUAAUUAACUGUUUGUUUGUUGUUGUUUUAUUGUACGUUUUAUUGUAAUUCAUAUUUGGUGCUAGCUGCCCUGAGCCCGGCCCUGGUCGGGGAGGGCGGGGUACAAAUAAAAAAUUAUUAUUAUUAUUAUUAAAUGUUAGAUACCACAUCAUGCUUUUGUUUGUUUUUUUGUCUCUAUUUCUGUUCACUGUCUUGAGCAGUUGUGGGAAACCUUCCACCCUCCUGAUGUUGCUAAACUGCAACUCCCAUCAGUUCCAGUAAGCAUGGCCAAUGACCAGGGAUGAUGGAAGUUGCAUUUCAGCAACACCUGGAGAGCCAAAGGUUCUCCACUCCUAGCCUAGAUCUUGUCUCAGGAACAGGACCUGAGCCCCUCCCUCGUUCAGUGGAGGCUUUAAGUUAGGAUUUAGAUGGUGACAGCAGUCACGAAAUUAAAAGAUGCCUGCUUCUUGGGAGAAAAGCGAUGAAAAACCUAGACAGCAUCUUAAAAAGCAGAGACCUUACCUUGCCGACAAAGGUCCGUAUAGUUAAAGCUAUGGUUUUCCCAGUAGUGAUGUAUGGAAGUGAGAGCUGGACCAUAAAGAAGGCUGAUCGCCAAAGAAUUGAUGCUUUUGAAUUAUGGUGCUGGAGGAGACUCUUGAGAGUCCCAUGGACUGCAAGAAGAUCAAACGUAUCCAUUCUUAAGGAAAUCAGCCCUGAGUGCUCACUGGAAGGACAGAUCAUGAAGCUGAGGCUCCAAUACUUUGGCCACCUCAUGAGAAGAGAAGACUCCCUGGAAAAGAUCCUGAUGUUGGGAAAGAUUGAGGGCACAAGGAGAAGGGGGCGACAGAGGACGAGAUGGUUGGACAGUGUUCUUGAAGCUACCAGCAUGAGUUUGACCAAACUGCGGGAGGCAGUGGAAGACAGGAGUGCCUGGCGUGCUCUGGUCCAUGGGGUCACGAAGAGUUGGACACGACUAAACAACAACCACCACCACAACAAGCUACAAUAGGAUUGUAAUAAAUUGCAUUUGUUGGAUAAACAACUUUUUACUUUCUUUUAUGUAACUACCAUGUCUUUAUUUGUUUACAUUUUAACAUUGAAUGCAAUUACCUGAAUGAGAAGCCUUGAGUUGAUGAAUCUGCCUAGCUGGAUUGAUUUCACUCAAUGCUUGAGCUACUCGACCAUGCUGAAAAGAGACACAGGAGGAAAGGUAUGGAUUGGGUUCUCACCUAAGCAUACCAGAGAGCUUGCUAAAAGUACUCCCCCCCCCCUCAGAUAAAUUAUCAUAGCUUUUAAGUCCCUUCUGCCUGGGAAGUAAUGGAAAUCAAAGGAGCAGGUGGUAGCUGCUUUUAUUAAGGGGGUGCACUGCAUCUCUGCUGGGAGUGCCUCUCAGUUCAUUACACUGCUAGAUUAUCAAAGUAAGCAUGCAGAAAGCCUAGAUAUGGUCCCACUUUGUGAAAUUGGCAUAUCUACAAAUAUUCUGGCGUACCUUACUAUAUUGGACAAAGUGGAAGAAAGCCCGCUCCGUGAAUGCUGGAAUAGCAGAAAGCACUAUUGAUUUGUAUCAAGUUAGUACUAUAUUCUGAAUCUUGACUAAUGAUAAUGCUGAGAGGCUUUAGCUUACAGAGAAGGUUUUUAUGUUACGAAUGAAGGUCUUUAGUAUACCUAAUUUCUUUCCUUUACAACUCAGUCAAAGAUAAGGAUGGUGUCAUUGUUUGGAUGUAUUUCAUGCCUAGAUAGACUUUAUCGUUCUUGGUAACGUUCAGCAGUUCUUUCUCUCUUUUCCAAAGGUUGUUUUUCCCACUCCCCACCCCCACCCCAUUUUUGCUUGGGAACCAAACUUCUGAUGUUUAAUUGGCUGCAGUAAAAGGGAAAGAUGAAUGCUUGCCAAGGAAUAUAUAGACUGUUCGGGCUCCCUCAGAUUGCUCACUUUGUUGUUGUCCGUUGUGCAGCUUUCUCCGACUACUUCUAUAUUUGCAUGCACAUGCAGCAUUGAGGCCUCAGGGACAAUAGGGCUGUUCAAGGCUUGAUAAAGUUUUUGUUUUCUGUAAAAACAAAACAUAUACCAAGCCUGUAGUGGUCCCCUCAGAUUUGCAGAGUGUGCAACAGGCAACAGAUGCUUUUGUAAAACCAAAACCUAAUUAAGCCCAGAGCAGUCCCUCAGGCACGGAAAACACAGAUUUCUGGAUUGCUGUGAUAACCUGUGUUGGAUUUUAAGUGGUGGAACCUAUUUGUUUUGUUUUCCUUCAGUACAGCCCUAAGAUGUAAAUGUUGACCCUCCUUGACCAGAGGGACACAGACAAAGAUCUUUCUGUGUAUCAGAGUGUUCCUUAAUUGGUACUAACUGAGCAUGUAGUAUUUCCUUACAUCAUGGCAUUGGCUGUUCCUCAUCACUUUCCAGCUGAAAAUGUUGGCAUUUGUUGCAGGCAUGGAAUUCAGAGUUGUUUCGUUUAGCAAACAUGAAGCAUGUAGACUUUAAAGAGCUAGAUUUAGCAAAUGCCAGAAGAAGAUAAACUGGCUUUUGAGUCAGUUUUGUAGAAAAUGUAUCAGGCUGACUUUUAACAAGGGCUUGAUGCACUUUUCUUUUGCUGUGGCUUCUGAAUGAGCAGAUGCUUUUGUAAUAGCAUACUAUAUACUUAGCAACACCAUUUUGUUGCACAUUCUGGAUAGGGUGGGAAAUUUGAAAUAGGGGUAUGACAUGACAUUGUCACCCCAUUUCUCACUUUUCCCCAGUGUUAUCAAAGAACCAUUAGUGAGCACUCUUUGGGUUCGGUCAGUCAACCAGCUACAAAUCCACUGAAUAGUACCUCAUACAGCCCACCUUUUGCUGAGGAGCAGAGCUACCAUGAUUAUCUCCAAAUCACAUCUCAACAAGGUUCCACAGCAUAAUCCUCUGUCUAGAUUCUGGCUCAGUUGUCCACAAAGGUGACCAAAACCACUUAUGUCCCAGACUGGAAAGGAUCCAAAUAGCUUUGGGCUUCUGCAGUCAUAGUGGUCAGGGCAUUUUUUCUUCCUGUCUGAAGUAGAGAGAAAGUAAGCAUAGUGAUAACUUUCACUAGAUUUGUUUCCUAGAUACAGAUUUUUGAAAGCUGCAAGGAUCUUCUUGUUGGGGGGAAAACAAAUUAAUUUACUUGUUUUUCGCUGGUAUAGUAUGGCUAUAACAUUUAGCUGCCAGUCUUGUUUUUGAAAUGUGUUGCAUAGGUUAGCUUUUUAAAGUCAUGGAUUCAGAAAGAAAUCAAUGUAGGGGACAUGAAGUGUUUACUAAUGGCUAGAUGUCUUUCAUAGAAACUUUGUGUGGCUUUUCAGAGCUCCAUCUGAGUGCAUAGAAGGCAUGAUUGUAUGCACUCAGCAGAACUGUGAUAAAUCCAUCCAUAGUUAACUGAAGCUGUGUAGAAUAUUCGAGGUCAAUCUUUUUGACAGAGUUCAAAAAGCAAAAGUAAUUGGUAGUUUGGGGCAGAGCUGAAACUUUUAUGUUUCCAAAGACUCCUGAUGUCAUUUCAGAAACUUCUUAUGAUCUGGUCUACAAUAUUUUCCUGGUCAUUAUGAAAUUGAUUCUCACACUAAUGGUGGUUUAUGAUACUAUACUGUAUGAAGAUGAAUUUACACAGUAACUUGUGUGACUCUGUUUUUCUGAGCCCAGAUUCCACUGGGCAUGUGACAGACAGGUUACCUGAAGUGUUUUUCAUGAAUACAAAGUAUAAUUUGGUGAAUGAUUACAAACCUACUUAUGCUUCCUCUCAGCCUGGCUAAGUUUUGGAAUUCUUCUUCCCUUCCCAUGGCUAAAGAACAGUAAGAUGCAUUUUCUAAUUGUAAGUGCUCCUUUGUUUCACUCCAGUUGACCUAGUUAUAGGGAUGUUAAAUUGAAAUGAAAUGAUAUGAUCUGUACCCCACUCUUAUUAGGUGCCCCCCACUAAGCCUGCCUGCCAUUGGCCAAUUUGGCGGGCAGGCUUGGAUUCAACUUCCUGGCUGGAGAGGAGGCUACUAUUUCACAAAUCAAUGAAUUAAAUAGAUUUUGAUAUGUUUUGCUGGGCCUUUACUCAGAUUCUGCAUGCAACCAAAUCCAAGAUUUUUUAAAAGGUUUUAAUAUUUUGGGACUCAACUCUGGGUACACAGUGAAUAAAUUGAUGUUUCUCAAUAUAAGACCAUGGUGCAGUGAAUAUAUUUAAAAUCACCUUUUAAUUUAGAAGUAUUGCAGAAGUCCUGGCAUUAGAAGGGAGUAACUUUUUAGAACUGCAGUUCCACCAAGUAAAAAUACAAAAAAACAGCCUCAAUUGCUUAGUGUUGUAACCAAAAAGUCAUGCCAAUUAAUGGAAAAGUUAAAGACAACCUAUUUAAUAAAAAAUAAACCCAAGGGGAACCUGUGAAAGAUGAAAUGUUAUACAGGUUCACGUUUCCGCAUGUUGUUUUUAAUGGAACAAUUAAUUUUGGUUUAAUUCUAUCCUCCUGAGAAAAGUAGGUAAGAAAUAGGGACUAGCAGGUCAAUUUUGUUAAUGAACCAAUUUAUAUGUAGCUUUACAAGUGUCAGUUUGUAAGACAAGGUAUCAGCAAAAGAGAAACAAGAAUUAUUUUGUUGGAACAUAUAAAGGAGAAAUAAUCAUAUCUGAUCCUUGAUGCCCCAGUCCUGCCAAUAGGUCCACCAUCCUACAUUCCAAGCAUGCCAGGUCUAUGCAUGUAAUUUGAAGUGUUCACAAAUAAUUUAUAUAGUCUGGCUUUAUGUCUUGCAAAAGUGUUAUGGUUCCCACUGUAGAAGUCAGGAUUCCGUAAGAUAUUGUAAAUGCCAGCAACAGGAAGCCUGCCCCUGCAUUUACUUUAUUGUACUUCAAGGUAUUCACAAGCUUUGCCUGUGUAGUUUCAUUUAAACCAUCUCUUCUUAGCUGUAAAUGUGAUUUGAGAUGGCCAGUACCUUCAGUGGGCCUCAGUUAUCUGUUAGCUCUGAGCAGUAAUCUACAAUACACACAUUAAUCUUAAAUGGCAGCAUGCACAGAGGCAGGAAUAAACAGCUAUUGAUACUUGUGAGGUGAUGCUUGUGCUACAGUCAUUAUUCAUUAUUAGGAAGAAAGAUGUCAUGCUCUGUAAGUAACACAUAUGGCCUUGCACUGUAGGGAGUUGAGACUCUACUGGUAAAUGAAGAUUACAUUCUGCAAGCAUAGACACAUAUUCCUGGGAGCAUCCUCUCCUCCCAAAUCCAGCCCUGAAGGGGCAGCAACUUUCUAUACGCAUCUUAGCUUGCCCAGAGUAGGAAUAUUGGCCCUGUUAUGAGCUAAACAAUAUCCAUAGUUUUAACAGUAAAGUGGAACAUGUGCAAUUUUCAGACUUUUCAAGUAAUCAGUACUAAAUGUCAGUUUCCUAAGUGAUCUGGAAGUAGCUCAACCACUUGGGAAUAUACUGUUUGUCCCUGUUUCUGUUCCUUUGUCUCUGAGACUCCUGGCUUCCUCUGUAGAUGAGAUGGAUGAGUCUGUCAAUGUUAGUUUCUCUGUUUUCCAAUCUCAAGUUCAGCUUUCCAUAUUUUUGCAUUUAAAAUAAAUUCUCAUGAAAAUUCAGCAGCAUUUUAGAGCGAAUUUCUCCUACUACACAAUGUUUGGUAUGUAAUUUUGCCUAAUAUCCACAUUCCUGAAAGCAUGUUUCUGUAAUACAAUGCUUUAUAAAAUAUUAUUUUCACUAAUACAAGUAUUUUUAUGCACAUUUUUGCCUUAUAUGCACUUUUUGGGUACACUAUUUUGUUGGUGAUCCUGCGAAAGACUGGGCUGGACUGGAUGAAUCCCAAGCCGGAAUUAAGAUUGCGGGAAGAAAUAUUAACAACCUCAGAUAUGCAGAUGACACAACUUUGAUGGCAGAAAGUGAGGAGGAAUUAAGGAACCCCUUAAUGAGGGUGAAAGAGGAGAGCACAAAAUAUGGUCUGAAGCUCAACAUCAAAAAAACAAAGAUCAUGGCCACUGGUCCCAUCACCUCCUGGCAAAUAGAAGGGGAAGAAAUGGAGGCAGUGAGAGAUUUUACUUUCUUGGGCUCCAUGAUCACUGCAGCAGUCAUGAAAUAAAAAGACGCCAGCUUCUUGGGAGAAGAGCGAUGACAAACCUGGACAGCAUCUUAAAAAGCAGAGACCUCACCUUGCCGACAAAGGUCCGUAUAGUUAAAGCUAUGGUUUUCCCAAUAGUGAUGUAUGGAAGUGAGAGCUGGACCAUAAAGAAGGCUGAUCACCGAAGAAUUGAUGCUUUUGAAUUAUGGUGCUGGAGGAGACUCUCGAGAGUCCCAUGGACUAUUCCUUUGUCAUUAAACAUGGCUCUUCAUUCAAGCCCAUUUCCUAGCUUCCCUGCCUUGCUGGUGAGCAGGCCUUUAUUUGCAAAGUAACCUUGCUUCAGUUCAACAGAACUGUUUGGGCUAUCAUAACAUCAGUGCUUUACUCCUCCCUUUCUGUACUUUCUGAUGAUGUGAGAUGGCCAGCUGCUUCCCUUACGAGUCCCCCCUCUCUCAAAUAACCUGCUCUUACGUCUAAGAACAGUGUAAAGGUAGGGGUGUCCCCUUCAACCCUACAAAUAGCUCUGUAGCUGACCUGGAAACAAAAUUGUCACAAUGAUAUCAAAGCCCUUCCAUGGUGGCUGUGCUCAUGUGGAAAGAAAUUGCUGUGGACCUUCAAAGCUUCUCUCUCCCCCCCCCCAUUAUAUACAGCCACAUUUCUUAUUGAAUAUUUGAGGGAAGGACUGUGCCGGCUUUUGAAUGCUACAUCUUCUGUGCAUCUCCUACAAUACCCUUUUAACAUUCUGGGUAGAAUUAUCAGCACUGAAGAGAGCAUUUCUCUUCAGUGCUGAUAAUUCCCAGCAUUAACAUCAAAAUAUCUGCAAAUGCAGUCUUGAAAUGUUUGCUGUGUUUGAAGAAUUUAUGUGUAGCGGAUGUCUAUUCAUAAUUUUCUAAUUUCUACUCAGGCUGAUUCCAAAGCUUUUCAGCUGCUGCUGGCAAGUUGAUUCCUAUUUUGUAUUUGAUUAGUCAAAGCAUUUUGGGUGUUCCAGGGUGACCUGUAAACAGAUGUAAUGCUUUGUGACUCCAAGAUGAUGCUACUUUUUCCCUAAUCUUGUAAAGGACUGUUUUGCAGCGUGAACUAGGAAUUCAGAUUCUGCUCAUGUGAUUGUGAAUUUUAUUUACUUGGAUUUGUUUUUAAAAGCUGUGUUCCAAGCUCUUGGCAGGAACACAAACUAUUAAAACAUAACAACGCUAAAAAUCAAUAUCAUUGUACUUAAAUGUAUGCAUCCUCCUUAAACGAAACCACUCUUGUUUCCCCUCAAUAAACCUACUAUCAUAAACUAAUAAGUGAAAUAAUAUGAUUUCAUCUUCUAUCACCAGAUGUGUUAGAUGGACUAGAUGUUUCCUCUGCUACAGUAUCUUUUCUACAGGGGGGUUCAUAGAAAUCUCUGGCUAUUUGUUUAUGGGAUCAAGAUUAAUGUGAUGUGCAUGAAAAAGUGUGUUUAUUUAUAGGACUGUGGCUAAUGUAGUGUGCACAUUCUACAUGAAUAAACAUUGAUGAAUAUUCCUCUAUGAGAUUUAGUUUAAGUGAAUGGACUGGUGCAUUAGUUCCAUGAGGGAAACUGAAGAUGCAGCAAUGAGGUAAGUUAAUUUUGUCAUCCUAGAAUCACCCAGCAUUUAGUCUGAUCCAGCAUAAACUUGGAAUAAUUAUAAUAAUAAUAAUUUUAUUAUUUAUACCCCAUCCAUCUGGCUGGAUUUCCACAACCGCUCUUGAGUGGCUUCCAGCAGAAUAUAAAAACAUAACGAAACAUCAAAUGUUAAAGACAUUUGAUGCAGAUACAGAGCUGCCUUCAGAUGUCUUCUAAAAAUUAUGUAGUUAUUUAUCACCUUGACAUCUGAUGGGAGGGCGUUCCACAGGGAGGUAGUGACCACCUCUGCCUCGUUCCCUGUAACUUUACUUCUUGCAGUGCGGGAACCUCCAGAAAACCUUUGGAGGUGAACCUCAGUGUCCAGGCUGAAUGAUGGGGGUGGAGACGCUCCUUCAGGUAUACUGGGCCGAGGCCACAAUUAAAGGCUAGUAAAUAGCAGUUGUAGGCAAACCAUAUGCUUUUUGUGUGUUUCUUUUUUUAAAAAAAACCACACUUCCUGUUUCUACUUAAUGAGACAAUUGAAGACUGUUUAUGCUGGAAAAUAUAGCACUAUAAAAUAUGUACACUGACAUUAAUAAAGCCAAUUUCAGAAACAACAUGAACAAAGUCAAUCAGCUCUGCCCAUAAUCUUGGCAGAACAAAAUACUUUGUAGUCUCAAGGAACUGACCUGGAUCAGGGUGGGGAGGGGGACAGUGUCCCUAACUCAGAAAUGAUUUUAUAAUCAAGGUACUGAAAAGGUCCUGUCCAAUGAAAUAACCACCCUUAAUUCGGACAGUGGAAGCUCAGGAAGUAUGGUCUCAUUAUUCUCAAUAGACAAGGUGGUAUGUGCAUGCAUGCUCAUUGAGGAGAAUGGGCACUAAUACAUUAAUUCAUCUCAUUCAGUAUUUUAUUCAUGUAGUAGCUUCAGAGCCUGGAGGGCAGGGAAGCUACUGUUGCUUGAGGUCAGAAGAGAGAUAAAGGAGAUUUUAUCUCUCUCCUUGCUUAAAAUCCUUUGCUAUUUAGCAGGGUUAAGGAACAAAACACAUUUAAGUUUCAGAAUCUGAAGUGGAUUUUGAAUUGAAUGUUGAAGACUACAGCUUUCCUUCAGAAAGGAACAAAGUGGGCAAGCCCGUCUGUAGAGCUCUGUAUGAAAUAUUUUGCUUCUUUCCGUCUGGCACCUGCCUACCCCCACCCCACUUGCCCUAGUGAUAGACUGAUAUCUAAAUACUUGUGUGUGUUUGAAACCUACAAUCUUUAUAGCCCAGAGGCAAGAAUGCUACCCUCUGAACUGAUCUGAUGUGUUCUUUUGUCCUGACAAUUCCCCACAUGCCUUUCAUCUGCAGAAGCAUUUGGAAUUCUGGAGGUAGUUUUUGAACAGGUACUGUAACUUCAUUUAAACGCUGGAACAACUCAAUGAAUGGCUGUUCUGUUCCAUCAGUCAUAUUUAGGAUCUGCUACAUUUCAAAGGAGGAACAGGGAUUGUUAUGUGCACAUGUAAGUGUCUGGCUCGCUUGAGAUGCAUCGUACGUUCACAGGCUUCGCUGUUCCAGGCAAAACUAUUCAAUAUUGAAUAGGCGUGUGGGGAGUGAGGUCUGCUCAUGCAGUAGGAGUUUUGACCCUCUCCUGUCCUAUGCACCCCUAAACUUGUCCUGGGGGUUCCCUAACCCCCCCCAAAGCAGAUUUAGGGGUGCAAGUGAGGGGGGCACGAAAUCGUUCUGCACACGCAACAACUUAGUUGAAUCACACCCAUUGUCUGGCCACUUGGGAAAACAAUUUGAUAAUAUCACCACACCUUUCCUAAGGCACACACUACACUGCAGAGCGUUGUGCGGUGCUGUGUUGCAAUUACAGAGGUGGAGGGUGCAGGUUAUUUUUAUAUUUCAUUUUAUUAACAAACGAACAAACGAAAAACAACCCAGGAAUUCAUAACAUACACAAAGGUGCACAAACAAUUCAGAAAAUGAGCAAUUGUCCAUAAAACACCUGCAACAAAAGAACAAGCUCUCUCUAUAGUUUGUAAGCAGAAGACUCAGAACAGUUUAAUAUAAGCCUGACCUUCUUCCAGAGGUUUACCAAAUAAUAGUUUGCCCUUAAUAAGAUAAACAACAGCUUACUCAGCUGCACUUUGCUGCUCCUGGUUAGGGCUGUAUGAAUUGUUCUCCUGGUCACAGCAGUGUUUUUCGAAAGAACAGGGCAGUGCAAUCACAUGAUCUUUUGCAUGCCUCAGGCUUGCCAAAGCUGUAACGUCUGUGGAUAUCAGUGCUACAUCCUAUAAUGUUAUGUGAGUCAGAGGGCACUAGUGGGAAUCUAUGGCCCUGUAGACUGGUGGACUCAAGUUCCCAGCAGCCACAGCCAACAUGACCAAUGGUUAGGGAUGUUGGGAGUUGUAGUUCAGCAAUGUCUGGAGGAUCAAAGGUGGUCUGUCUCCCCUCCGCAACAGGAGAUUCUGUGUUUUCCCAUCUAUUAGUGAAUAAUGAAAAAGAUGGACAGAUAUGUAAUCUUCACACUGCUUCCACUGUUUUGCAAGAGGGUGAUAUGGAGGAAACAUAUUACAUUAUGUUACAUUACAUUAUUUUUUUUGUAUUCUGCCUUUCGUUAGUUAAAACAAUGCUCAAGGUGCUUACGCCAUGAAAAGAAUUACAUAAUUAGAAAUAUAUCAAAAGUAUUCCUAAACAAACAAUAAAACACAUCAAAAAGUACACAAUGAAAGUGAACAAUUUCCACAUAAAUAUAUGCUUUCUACCAGGGGUAUUUCCUCUUGUUAAUCCUUCAUAAUAUAUUGAAACAAAACAAACAUUUAGAAAGAAUAUGCAAAGUUUUGGACUAGUUACAUCUUAUAUAAUUAUAAAAAGGGAUAAGGUUUACAAUCUAUUGUAAUCUUUUUAUUUUUAAUAAUAAUACCAAUAAUUUAAGAAAUACAACAUAUAAGGCUAUUAAAAAAUUUUCAGUAUUACGUGAAGCUAUUGGCUCAUAGAGCAAGAUGUUUAUAAUGCAAUUUGAAAGCAUAGUGAUGAUUGUGGGUGAUGAUCAUGUGGGGGUGGAAAUAGCACAUUGUGCUUAGUGAAGACUUUGUGAGGUGCAAUGUGACCUUCCUGUGCCUCUCUCUGAGGGUCCUGACACUUUUCUCAGCAGAAGUGCUACUGGUGUUCUUAAGACAUGUUUCUUAUGCUACAGGCAAGGAACAUUUGGGGACUAACUCAUGUCACCGUCCUAUUUUCGCAUUCCUUCUUUCCGUCUCCAAGGCUCAGAGAUAAAAGCCUUGAAUGUCUUAAUAUUUUAUUCUUUUAAAAAUAACUUGACCAUCAGUCACAUAGGGGAAAAAAUACCAUUGGCCUUCAGCAGUGACUAUUUGGAUGGCUACAGUGCCAUCUAUAUUCCGAAGCCUACAAUAUUGUGUACCUUUCACUCUUGCGGCUGAAAAUGAUCAGAUCUUACUGGAGUAAUUGCUUCCUCUUAAUAUUUGUGAGAAUAAUGUCCUCAAAGCUCUUUGAAAUAUUUCCAGGUGCCUGAUGGAGCUUAUGAUUCUAUCUACAUGGUUUGCAAAGCACACCUUCAUUGCUUUCAUUUGCACAAUCCACUUUCAGGUAGCUCAUAGUACUAGAUCAAUCAGUCUCUAUAAGACAGGAUAUAGAUGGGAUAAACAAUUUGUUGCAACACACACACGUAUAUGUAUGGGGUGGGGAAAUGUAGAAUGUCACAUCAUUGCACCAGGUAAUGGUCUAUUUGAUAUUAAUGGAGGGGGAGAAUGGAGCCAGACAACUACUUUGAACAGCAUCAUGUAAUGCUGUUCUUUUCAUCAGGACAGACAUGUACAUAAGAACAGGUGACGGGUAUGUACAGCCUUCAAAAGUCAAGAGAUAACAGGAAACAAUGCAGUAAAUGUGACAGGCAUAUUUAUGUGCAGUGAGUGAGUAAAUAGUUUUGCUAAAGCUAAGGCCUUUAAAAGGGCUAUAAUUAAAGGUCUAAAUGAAUGCCCUCAGAUGUGAAUAAUAUACAACAAGAACAAUAAGCCACUGAAGAUUUUUUUAAAAAAUUGUAUGGUUGAAGUCUGUGCUGUUUGAUGUUAGUUUCAUCCUGGGCACUAUCCAGAAUGUGUGUGUGAUAUUUAUGCAGGCACCAUUCACAUAGCACCUGUUAUUGAAACAGAAACCCUAGUACUGAGUGCUGAGGAAAAUAACAUUUUCCAAGCAGCAUUAUGUAGUUUAUUGCUGGGAAAAUGCAAUUUCACCACAACAGAAUACCUUGGAGGAAUGUUAUCUCGAUUCCAUGCUUCUUUAUAGAUCGUUACAGAAGAAAAUGAGAAAAUUCAAAGUAGACCACACAGGUGUGCAAACUUAUAAUUCACAGAGACAGAAGUUGCGUCAUUAAAGAAAGUGUGUGUAUUGCACUAAAGCCCCAAAAGGAAUUACUUAUACUUGCUUUCUAGAGCAGUAGUUGCUGUAUUGGCUGAUUAUACUAAAUAAUUAUAAUUUUAAAAAUCCUUUGUUAUACCUCUUUGAGAGAAGUCCCAUGAAGCCCAGUGAAGCCUAUUUCUGAAUUUGACCUACAUAGGAUUUGGAGUUUCAAUCUGGGUUCGCCAUGGUAGCCUUUAUUCUAACUAGAUAAUUUAUUUAAAUUGAUACCUUGCCCCUCCUCUCAGAGGAGCCCAGGGGGCAUCCACUUUUGUGCAGCCCCCCCAAUCUGAGAGAUUGCAAAACCCUUGAAAGAGAACAGGUAUCCCACCUCUAAUUUCGCAGGAAGAAGUGUUACAGAGUUUUAUUUGUGUGUUUACAACCAGGUUCACUGUAAAAGCAACUUUUUCAUGGCAUAGGUAGGUGACAGCAGAAAGAUUAAAAAGAUAUGUCAUCAGGCUGAGUUCAAAGCGGCUUUUCUGCUGUUCCAUCCUCCCAAAUUAUUUGAGCAGUAUUCACUCAUUCUCCUAGCUUUUCCCUGUACAUUUCACAAGUGCCCUGCAGUGCAAAAAACACAUAAACAUCAAAGCAUGGAAAAUAAUUUGACUUUCUUAGUUCUGUAUCAUUUUUAUAUAAUUCCCUCAGUAGUCUGUGAAGGCACAUUAGAGUUCAGGCCUUUGAAAUAAGGUGGCAGAAGUUUAUUUUUUUGGAAGAACUGACUGCUUUUAUGUUUGCACAGUUCCAUUCCAGACUUCCUUAUUCAACAAUCAGCUGCUGCCUCCUGUUGAAACAUAAUGGUUAUGGGAAGAGAAUAGCUCUUGAGAUCUUCCAGGCUCUGCCUAGAGUGGGUGGGAGAAAUAUAUACAGUGGUGCCCCGCAAGACGAAUGCCUCGCAAGACGGAAAACUCGCUAGACGAAAGGGUUUUCCAUUUUUUGAGCUGCUUCGCAAGACGAAUUUCCCUAUGGGCUUGCUUCGCAAGACGAAAAACGAAAACGUCUUGCAAGUUUGUUUCCUUUUUCUUAACACCGUUAAUACAGUUGCGACUUGACUUCGAGGAGCAACUCAUAGAACGCGGUGUGGUAGCCUUUUUUGAAGACUUUGGUGAUUUUUGAAGCUUUUCCAAAACUUCUUUUAAACUUUUAAAACUUUUUUUGGGGUUUUUGGAUUUUGGGUUGGGGUGUUUGGAAUUCAAGGACUUGGUGUUGGGGAGGGGUUUGCAAGAAUCUGGAAGCUUGUGUUUUCCCCCCUGCAUUUUUAUGAUUUUCUGUGACCAUUGGGCCACUCUGCUGUUUUUUUAAAAAACAUCUGGAUUUGAAUUUCUGUGUGGUGGAUGGCUGGGGGAACAGUUGAGGAGGGGUUUGCAAGAAUCUGGAAGCUUGUGUGUUUUUUCCCUGCAUUUUUAUGAUUUUCUGUGACCAUUGGGCCACUCUGCUGUUUUUUUAAAAAAAUUCUGGAUUUGAAUUUCUGUGUGGUGGGUGGCUGGGGGAACAGUUGAGGAGGGGUCUGCAAGAAUCUGGAAGCUUGUGUGUGUUUUUUUUCUGCAUUUUUAUGAUUUUCUGUGACCAUUGGGCCACUCUGCUGUUUUUUAAAAAAAAUUCUGGAUUUGAAUUUCUGUGUGGUGGGUGGCUGGGGGAACAGUUGAGGAGGGGGUUCUUCAGCAAGAAGCAAAGAGUGGAAGAGGAACCUUCUUUGAGUUGUCCCCCAGAGGCUUAGAAAAUGCACUGUACACUUUGUUGAUUUUUAAAUGUUUUUCUGUCAUGUUUAGAAACUUAAUUUAUUGUUCCUUCACUUUUUGAAAUGCUCUUUACAGUAUGUGUGACUUUAAAGAGCACUUAAUAAACUCUUGUUGUACCAAAUUUGGCUUUGUUUGGACUUUUUUUGACCAUAGGAACGCAUUAAUUGAAUUUCAAUGCAUUCCUAUGGGAUUUCGUGCUUCGCAAGACGAAAAAUUCACUAGACGAAAAAACUCGCGGAACGAAUUAAUUUCGUCUUGCGAGGCACCACGUUGUAUCUUUUUUUUUAAAAAAAGUUUGCAUUAGCAAAGCCGUUCUUACUUGAAAAUAGCAUUGAAACUGAACUAACCUAAACCAUCCAGGAGAAGAAGAAAUAAAAACAUUGACUCUGGUUACUGAGACCCUAAUACAUUGUUGUUGACAUCUGUCUGUCUCAAGAGUCAAUGGAGUGUGCCUCCAGGGGUCAAGUCAAACCACUGGAGAAUUACAGUGCCUGCUGUGACCUCGGAGACCGGUAACUUGCAACUGCUGCCUCCUGCAUUGUUUUUGGUGCAUUAGCAGCAGCAAAUUGGCCUCUCUGGGGCACAAGCCUGGGUUGUGUGGCAUGCAUUCGAUACAAAACACUGAAUCAUCACAGUACGCAUGAGACCUUACUCGCUAACACCAGAUAUUAUUUGUGAUUUGUUAAGAGCAGUUUCACAGUAAUCUUUGUAGGACUACACAAUAGUUUGGUUACUUCAACGUUGCUUAAAAAGAGAAAAUAUAUCACCAAAAAGGGACAUUGAUUUGUUUAAAAUGUGCUCAUGCAAAUUUAUAUGUAUACUGUAGAAGCAAAUUUAGAAACUGGAAAUACAGUAUAUGUCACCAUGUUGGGGAAGACAGACCAAGGAAUCUGAAACCUGCACAGUAUGGUGUCCACAUCCUAGCAGUUGAUGGGCAACUUCAAGAUCCCUGCUUUUUUUAAAUGGUAGCCCUUCAAAUAGAGCACGACCCUCUGUAACAUAGGACACAUGGCCACUCUUCUGCACAACUUGGGACUCACAAACCUGAAUAAAGCUCACUACUUUUAUAUUUUCCCCUAAAGGUACUUGACAACCCCUCUGUUUUUCAGAGUUCUAGGCAAGCAGCUAAAAAUAGAUCUAUCAAACGUCCAGUGGAUUUGACUUUGUGAAUCACAACUGGGCUCAUAAGUUGUUCAUGUCUGCUCUAGGACGCUUAUGGAGCAUCUUUAAAUCUGAUUUUAUCUUACUACGUGCACUAAGUUUUUUAAUUGAUUUUUUAAAAGAUAGCAUUUAACAUUUUACAACCCCCCCACACUUUCCUAUCUUAUGUUUGCUGCCUCUCUAAAAGAAUCUGCAGCUGUGUCUCUUUAGCUGUUGUGGUCACAGCUGCAUUCUUCAGCUUAAGGAGAGAAAAAGGACAAGGGAAGAUUCUGACAAUAAUUGUGUGUAUCUUCAACUACUCCUUCAUCCUGUGUAGCUCCAUGCUGCUUCUGUAAGGCAUAAAUUCUUUUAAGGAAAUCAUUCUCACCAAAGGCCAUUUCACACUUCAGGUGGCAAUUGUGCUUGCUUCCUAUAGACUGGCGUUUGCAGAACACACCAAAUUCUCAAGAAUACAUGCAGCUCCAUAAUGUGUUCAGUACAAGGUUAGAUACAUGAACCUUCCCUUCACAAGGGAGACAAGCCACAGCUGUCGCUUAAGGUGUGAAUCUACCCUGGCAGGCAAUUGUUGGUUGCUUGGGAGUGAUCAGGAGAGAGGAGCAGGUGAGUCAUAGUCAUAACUGAGAUCUGCACUAACCCUAGGAUCAUCAGGAGCCAAAACCAAAAACAUAAGGAAAUAUGAGUUUUAUAUUGGGGAAAGCAAAGAGAUUUUGCCUUUUAAAAAAAAUUAGCAUUGCAAAGGAACUGGUAGUGAUCUGCAUCUAUUCUAGACUAGGUGGUUGUUGGCAUCUGACUGUCUUGGGAGACAAUGGAAGAGUAUGUGUUUGGGGAUAAAGUCAAACUAUUGGAGAGUUACAGUGUCUGCUGCGGCUGUAGAGACCAAUAUGGGAGACACAUGUUUUAUGGUAGGUGGGGCAGGUGAAGGUUCCAGGUUUUGCUGCUACAGGUGCACCGUGGCAUUUAUUUUUUUCUGUGCUCCUCCCAGCAGUCAUUCCUCCUCUGAUCCAACAUAGAGGAUAAAGUCAUUAUAGAUGACACAUUUAGAUGGGGUUGCAAGGAGGAAGCAAGGACCGAGAAGGAGUAGCAGAAAAAGGAAAGAGAGCAAAGCCAUGAGCAAGCCUUGCCACAGUGACUUAGGACACAGCCUGGGUGGAAAGAAAAGGCAGCAGCUCUGGAGCUAGCCUGGCAAGUCAAGGAGGGAAAGGGUUAACUGACAAAAGGGAGAGGCUACCUACACAACUGAUGGUAGAGGAUUAAUGGGAAGCAGACCUCAGAAGGUUUCUUAAGGUUUAGAAGGGUUUUAAACUCAUCUGAGUGAAGAGCUCACAAAGUGUUUCCUGAAGGCAAGAAAACUCUUGGGUAUCUGAAGAUCCUUGUGAUUCACAGUGGGAAACAUUCAUGAUUGUAUUUAGACUUCAAGUACAGUGGUACCGCGGGUUGAGAACUUAAUUCGUUUUGGAGGUCCGUUCUUAACCUGAAACUGUUCUUAACCUGAAGCACCACUUUAGCUAAUGGAGCCUCCUGCUGCUGCCAUGCCGCCGGAGCACAAUUUCUGUUCUCAUCCUGAAGCAAAGUUCUUAGCCCGAGGUACUAUUUCUGGGUUAGCGGAUGUAACCUGAAGCGUAUGUAACCUGAGGUACCACUGUAUUAUAGGAAUUGUUAUAGCAAGAGUUGCAUGUGUGCAGUAGAGUUCUCCCUAAAAUAGCAGGGGAAAUGGGAUCUCACCUUGGUAACAUUCCACCCAUUUCAAUAAUUUAGCCAUAUUUUGGAAAAAAAUAUAAACAAUAGGGAACUGUAUGAGUGCUGCAUCAAAACCAAUUACACACAUAUCCCAGAUAUCAGGAUAAUCAGGUCAGCAAUGCAGACCAUAACCAACAACAAUAUUAUUUCUUCAAGUGUUAAACAUUUUGCCAUCCCUUCAUCUCAGGAAAUGUCUGGUGCUCAUUAUACUUCACAUGGUGGUGGUUAUGGGUGCUGCUAGGCCACCAUCAACAGAUCUGAGAGCUGUCAGGAGCUUGUCCUACACUCUAGUAGGACCUUGGCAGAGACACAUGCCCGACUGAUCAAUUGUUCGGGAGCUUCAUUAGCUUUCUUCAGCCCAAACAUCACAGUGACCGAUGCCAACAGACAUCGGCACACUUAGGGAUCCGCAGAGUCUUUGCAGCUUGCGUGACAGACCUCAGCAACUCAGCAUUUUGGCUAAUCUACUUUAUUUACAUAUAAACACAUAUGGAGCACUGCAACAUGGCUCCCUCUCUCUCUAGUAUCAGACAGCAAAGAGCAAAAAAACAAAGGACAAUAGUCCCACUUCACGGAACACAGUAACACAAACAUCCUGUCUUCGUCACUUCCUACUCUGUGGAGUCAAAACAUACACCGUCAUGUGAUAGACAACAAUCUUAUGACUGCAGUCACAGAGCAGGUAUUCUAACAAGAGCCACACCACACUACCAGCAGCCUCACCUGUUGUUGUGCUGCACUGUUGUACAAUGCAGGUGGAAUGCCCUACUUGCAGUCUGAGGCAUACAGUGCAGCUGUAAAUCUACUCGCUGAAAAUAUGUUUCAGCUUCAAAUCAGAUAGGUAGAGGAGGCUUUUCCAGAACUAGCCAGGGUAACCCUGUUUUAAGCAAAUUUCUUUGCAUCCAUUAUCAUCGUUCAAAUCUAGUGGCCUCGGAUGGUUUACCCUCAUGUUUCUAUUCAGUGGUUGGGCAUCACCCGAGUGAAGCAAAGAUGAAAAUGAAUUCAUUUUCUUAUUAAGCUGUGAAAUGUCUCUGACACUUACUGUAUUUGUUUUAUAUUUCUCUCUCUCUCUUUCACAGCCCCGCCACCCCACUCUUACUUACUGCUUAAAUGACCUAAUUACAUUCCGAUGGGACCUCUUCCAUCUGUCUACAUUUUCUUUGUAGGGAAGGAAUUCGACCCAUGGGAUCCUCGUUUGCCUCUCAGGAGACACUACUAAAAUGAACAAGACUUAGGAGAAAAUGCACAUGCAAGGGAAAGCAACAAUGGGGUCCAAGCAAAACUAAAGCCGCUGGGCUAACUUCUUAGGGUGUUAGUCUUAAAGUUGUGCUUUCUGCGAUUCAUGGCUGCUUCUUGAUCAUGUGCAUCUUUGUGUGGAACAGAAGAGCACUAUGUAAUAUGCCUGGGUAUGCCUGAUUUCAUUAACAUGCCAAAUUCAUGCUGAGCAAUAUGUUUCCUGUGGCAUCCCCACAAUAAUAAAAGCACAUCUGAGAUCUAACAUCGGCUUUUUAUCCAGAGGGCACCACUGCUAUUGAUACAACAAAUGGAGAUAGGUGUGAUGCUUCACUAGAUAGGGUACUAAAGCGAAAAUGUAGUGCCUCUUCUGCGUAUUGUUUCUGAAUCAAAUCAUUUCUGCUGACCAGGAACAAGUACAGCCAAAAUGACUUCAGAUUUGUUAGCAAAAUGAACCUACCUCUACAAGGGCUUCAUUUUGUGACCAUAGAGAUGGCGUGCCCUACUGAAAUAACUGCUGCAGUUCUUACCAUGAUUCAUGGCACCUAUGUGACGUUUAAAACUGAUUAGGACAAGGGAAAUAGCUAAGUAGCUCUACUACAGAUUUCAAGCCUCCCAAUUUCCCGAACUGUCUCCCCAAUACAUAAAUAAAUCCAAUUAGUUAUGGAUUCCUGCAAAAGCACCAACUGUGUGUACUUAGAACUGGUGAGGGAUCUGUGAAUUGGCCUUGAGAACUUUUUCAGAUGAGCUGCUUUGCAUGAGACGCUCUGUAUUUAAUUUAAUUUCCGAUAUCAUUAACUAGCAAACAUUUCUGAGACACCUGAACCACCCCUCUUUUUUCUUUCCCCUCCGUGCAGUUGUGUGAAUUGAUGGAAACUCUUUUAACACUGGAUGUUUUCGAGCACUGUUACAAUAUGAAUCAUGAUGAAAAGUAGACUGUCAGUAGAAUUCAAUUAGGAAAGCCAUUUAAACCGCAAAGAGCAGCUCAGAUUAAAGUGAACAAGUGGUAGAAGUAUCACAUCUCUUUGUAAACAGCAGCACUGCAGGUUAUUUAUAGCAACAUGUUUGGGAAUCUAGAUUAAAUAUGCUUUACUUGUUAGAGUCAAGCUUUAUCAGAAAAUAAAAUGAUCUUGGUAAUCUAAGGUAUCUCUGGGAAAGAGGGAGCUUUGUCUGUGUGAUAAUGUGUCCCUGUAGAGAUAACACUGAGUGCCAAAAUGGAAUGUGUAUAGGGAAGCGUGUGUACGUGUUUCUUUUUAGUGUCUUCUCUAGAAAACCAAUUCAGAUUUCAAUUGGCUCUCAGUUGUUUUCAAAUAACUUUUCCCAUCACUGUUUGCUGUUCAGAUACUAAGAUAUAUUCUUUCUGAUCAUGGAGUUCUGGGGUGGAGUAGAGUGAAUUGUUCCAAAAUACAUUCAAAAUAAUGUGUGCAAAGAAAAUUGUGCAAAGUCUGAGAGAAAUUCACUGUUGUGCUAAGCCUAAGGCCAUCAUUCCAUUGGGGUGAGCAUUCUAGCUUGUAAGACAGAAUGAUUUCCCCUCUCUUCCUCCCAUUUGCUGUUCCCAGGGUUCUCUUGGCCUCCCCACAGGGGUAUAGGGCAAGUGUGCAAGUGAGCCUGAGAUGCCUGACUGUUGGUUCAACUAAUAUCAAACCAUGGUGUGGUGUUAUGUCUGAAUCACCCUACAGUUUUGACGAAGUUAAUUUCUAUGUAGAAAUUAAAUGCCCAGAGGCAGAACUUAAAUCAUGUUAAUUCAGAAAAAAUAUAUAUUGCUGGAGCUUAUUUCAAAAUAUUCUGUGCCUUCCUUUCUCUCUCUUGCUUUCUGACUUGAGCCAAUUCUGAAAAAUAAUAAGGGAAAAGAUAAAGAGUUGAUUUAGUGCUGAGCAAAUACUGAGGGGGAAUUGUGACUGUGAUUAGAAUUUAUGUGUUCUCUUCUUACAUAGCACAAUAUGAUUUUAUGUAAUGGCUUGAGAGAGUAUGUAUGAAUAGUAUUUCUGAAGGAACACUUAUUAAUGCUGAUGGAAUAUGAACUUGAGAUAGGUAGCUUAAUACCACAUUGCAAGAUGGCCUUGUUUCCCACAGUGCCUCUAGAAAGCCCGCAAGCAGGUAUGAAGGCACUAACCCUUGGUUCUCACUAGUAUUCAGAGGUAAACUGAAUCCUCCAUUUUGUUGUCAUGGAUAACAACCAUUGAUAAACCUAUUAUCCCAUGCAUUAAUCUCCAUCUCAGCAAGGCACCAUCACCAGAUCCUUGUUGGAAUGAAUUCCACAAAUUAAUUGGGCAAUAUGUGAAUAAGUGCUUUCUUUCAUCUGUCAAGCUUCUGCUGCUAGUCAAUUUUAUUGGUUAUACUAUUCCUCUACUCUAAGCUUGUGGUGGCUGGAGCUUAGGAUUCCCCCCCCCCCCCCGAGCUCCAACUUUAUCUCUUACUGCAGAAAAGAUUUGUUUCCAAUUUAGGGAGGUUGGGAGCUCAGUUCAUCAUAAGACAUUCCUUUUCAUUUUAACUUUCACACCCUACUUCUCUUCAUACUUCUCCCUUAGUGAUCCCUACCAUCUAGUCUCAGCCCUGUAGCCAGGGUGGGGCAAAUGGGUGUACUGCCUUCCCUGGGCUGUACUCUCCAUUCACCAGGAUUUUAUUUUUAAAAUUGUCUUUUUAAUUUGUGACAACAGAAACCUACAUUUAAGGAAUGACAGCUUGUUUUAAGAACAGGAGUGAUUUAAGACUAGGACCCUCUGAAAAAUUCAGUGAAUUUGGAAGGGUGACUGCACAACAAAAGGCUCAUCUGGAGGAGCCCCCCAAAGUCUGUUUGCUGAAGACUUUCUCUGUCUGAAGGUGGUUUUUCAUGAAAGAAAUCACCCUAUAAUUACUGUAGUGAUCCUGUGGGUAGACAGCCUGUUUUUCCCCUUGAAAAACACAAACCUUGAAGAGUUAAACUUUGUGUUAUGGGUUUCUGGGCAGAAAAAUCAACCCACUAACCAGCAAUAAAUAAAUAAAAAUAUAAUAAAAUUUCUUUCCACAAUUAGUUUCCAGUCACUUAGUCAUUUAUAUAACAACCAGUUAAAAUGUUUUCUCUUGAGUGCCCAGCAGCAAGGGAAAUCUAAAGGUCAGGAACAAGAGUAGAAUGGAGUUAAACACACCCUAAAGUAUUUAUUUUCUCUUUGCCCUUUCCUAAAGUUGUAAUGUGGACAUUUUUUUGCAGUGUGUAUGUGUGUGUGUGUGUGUGAAAUCUAAAACAUAGAUAUCUAGUGCAAGCUCAGGAGCUCACUGUCUUUCCCAAAGUAGCUCAUUUCAGAACACAGGGACGGACUACAGAUGAAAGAUGACUUUAACUGUAGGCAAAGUGAAACUUUUAAGUCUGAUAUGACUGAGGAUCUCGAGCUCCACACUAGUUUUUAACUUAUUGGUUACAGCAUAAACUGUUUUGUUUGUUUUACACCUUUUGGUAUCCCUUCAUUCACUGUAUCCUUAAAAUUCUUUUUUCUUUUGAAGCAGAAAAUAUGCCAGCGAUUUACUUCCCAGUAUUCAUACUACAUUUUCUGUUAUGCAAGCCCAUUAUGCAAGUUAAUACUCUCUGCAUAGAGGAGGAGUAGGGUGGGGAGAGGUUCCUGCAUUUCCCUUCCACAUUGUAUGGCCCUCACAUCCUUUCCUGUAGCAAAGUGGGGGCCGGGGGGAUGUCUGGUGCUAUGCACCUCCCCAAUUAAAUUUUACUCAGAGUAGACCUAUUGAAAUCAAUUGAUACAAGUUAUUUAUUUCCAUUAACUUUAAUGGGAUUACUCUGAGUAGAACUAACUUUGACUAUAACCCUUUGAGAAAUUUUUCAUCUUAUGCUGUUCUCUAAGUACACAAUCUGUUGUAUGUAUGUUUAAAGGACUCACAAGUGGAAAAGGCUAUAAAGGUGUAGGAAAGUGAAAGCUAAGUUGAAAACCACGGACACAUCCCAACAAAAAAAAUGCAGUGGUACCUCGGGUUAAGUACUUAAUUCGUUCCGGAGGUCCGUUCUUAACCUGAAACUGUUCUUAACCUUUAGCACCAUUUUAGCUAAUGGGGCCUCCUGCUGCUGCUGCGCCGCCGGAGCACUAUUUCUGUUCUCAUCCUGAAGCAAAGUUCUUAACCUGAAGCACUAUUUCUGGGUUAGAAGAGUCUGUAACCUGAAGCAUAUGUAACCUGAAGCGUAUGUAACCUGAGGUACCACUGUAUUUAUAACUAUUAUUGAAUUCAGUUGAACACAACACAAGUCAGUUACUACUGAAUUCCAUUCCAUUGUUUUUAAUUUGUUUCAAUUUGACUUAGUUGCAACUUAGUUUUGUUGCAUUGUUCCCCACAGUCCAACAAGUGUACAAAGGUAUUACAAUAAUGCUUAUUAGUUCAUGUCUAGCUUUAUAUUUAUGUUCACAAAAUUUCUCUUUGCAGUCUAGAAUAUUUUUUUAAAUAAAUUAAUGCAUGCAAAGUUACAGCCACUACUGAGAUCUGACCCCUUCUUUUUGAAGCAAACAUGAUUGAAUUUACCCUUGUAAUGAAAGCCUGUUUAAAAUAGAGAGGAAAAGUGCGGGGGGGGGGGUGUAAGGGAGGGGAUUUGGCACUAAAAUUGGAAAUACAUUUUUUCCCCUUUAGCACAAUUUAUGCAAGAGAGAAAGGGUUUAUAACAAAUCAGGCUGCAAAUCAGGCAUUGUCAGGCUGCAACAAGGUCAUCAUUCUCAAAGGAACUAGAAAAAGUCAAUAUUAAGCAAUUGACAUAAGAUGAAUUGUUAAAAAUGAAAAAUAAAGUUCUGCCUGUCAGAGAAUGGCCUUGCAGUAAUCAACAUGUAAGGUCCCCCCCCCCUUGGUAGAUUUGUUUUGGGGUUAUUAGCAAGGUGGCUCUUUAAAAUAAAUAUUUGAAAGAAAAAAAGAUUAAAUCACAGCCUUGAAAACUUUCAGAUAAGUAAAGAAAUAUCAGUAAGUGGGCCGUGUUAAGUUAAUAUAUGAAAAAAUAACUUCUGGUAAUGCCGAGAACAGAGUGCUGCAUUUAAACAUCUUAUGUGGGAAGUGAAUGACUCAUGCGUAAACACUACAAAAGCCUACCAUCAGUUAUAGAUUAAAAUUCAGAACUGUAUAAAUACUAGUUGGUAGAAUCCAUGCAGAUUCUGUAAACACAUUUAUAAUAACCUACCAGUUCUCCUUUCACAUUAGCCCAAGUGAAAGUAACAUGCCUAGAAGGCGGGGUACAAAUAAAUUAUUAUUAUUAUUAUUAUUAUUAUUAUUAUUAGGCUAUCAUAUGUCCUCUCAGUCUCCUCUUUACCAGGCAAAACAUACCCAACUCAUUCAACCAUUCCUCAUAAGGCUUGUUUUCCAGACCCUUGAUCAUCUUGUCUUCUAUGCACACAUUCCAGCUUGUCCAUAUCCUUCUUAAAUUGUGGCAGAAUAGAGCAGUUCUAUGCCCUUCCUUUGACCUGGACACUAUACUUCUGUUGAUGCAGCCUAGAAUAGCAUUAGAUUUUUUUGCACUGCUGCAUCUAUCUUUUGACUUGCAUUAAGUUUGUGGUCUACUAAGAGCUCUAGAUCUUUUUCACAUGUACUACUGGUAAACCCAGUGUUGUUGUUGUUAAUUGAAUUUAUGUGUUCCCCAUCUUAUAUUUGUGCAGCUGGUUCUUCCUGCCUAAGUGUAGAACCUUACGCUUGUCCCUAAUGAAAAUCAUUUUGUUAGUUUGGGCCCAGUUCUCCAAUCUGUUUAGGUCAACUUGAAAACUGAGUCUAUCUUUGCAACAUUGGCUACCCCUCCCAUUUUUGUGUCAUCUGCAAAUUUGAUGAGCACCCCCUCAACAGCUUCAUCUAAGUAAUUUAUAAAAAUGUUGAACAACAAUGGGCCCAGGACAGAACCCUUUGCCACCCCAUUUGUCACUUUUCCCCAUGAUGACAAGAAAUCAUUAGUGUGCACUCUUUGGGUAUGAUCAGUCCACCAGCUACAAAUCCACUAACAGUUACAUUGUCCAGUCCACAUUUCACCAGCUUCUCUGCAUCAUGGGGGACUUUGUCAAAAGCCUUACUGAAAUCAAUAUACACUACAUCCACAAUGGUUUCUGAUCACAAGCAUUAUUCAAACAAAAUUCUAAGAAAAAAAUGUAUUUUUCACAUGCUUUAAAAAUGAGAGCGCUAUAGGAUUUCCACCAGCCUCCUGGUAUUUUGCAUAGCAACACCAGGCAGGAACACCUCCCAGUUAACCAACUGAGAUAGAACUGAGUUGCAGUCAAAUAUAAUUCCCAAUUAUAUAUUUUUAAAUACUGCCUUUUCUUUUUCAAGUAAUGAAAUGACAAUAGAUCUGCUUCCAACAGGCAUAAUUUGAAAGUAUAUUUGAUGAACAAAUUUUAAUUUUUAAUCACUCUGCUGGGCUUGGGGACUGUCAUUCAGAAAGCUAGGCAGUGGAUUUCAUGUUCAAACUAAAAAUGAACUUGUGUUAUUUGACUUUUGAAAGGGGAGGGUUUUUUGUUUUUGUUUUUGCAGAAUUUUUGGGUUGUAAGCCACUGGGAGCAGUCAAAUACAACAUUCCUUGUUUUGCUAGAGUGGACAUCCAAGGGAAUGUUUGGUCCAGCCAGUUGAAACUUCCUGUUCCUCCUGGCCUGGAGCAUCUUUCCUUGCAUGUGACUAGUGGGUGGGCGUGAUCUUUCCAGACCUAGUAAAAGGCCAAGGCAUGCUGCCACUCUCUCUCUUUUUCAUCUUCUUUUCGUCCUGUGAACUUUCUGGACUGCUAACUGCAGUCAUUAGGUCAACCCACAUACGGGGUAAACCUGUUUGUAUAUGUUUGUAACUUUAAGCCUUAAGCCUGCCUUCGCUCUGCCUGAUCGUGAGUAAACUUAAUUUUUAUUGCUUAUGAAUAAGACUGUGGUGUCUUUAUUUUUUUAGGAGGGAUUCAAGGGGUCUUACCAGGAAAAUAUUAGAAUACAUUUCAAUCCAGACAAGCCAGAUUGAACUGCGUAUUGUCUUAAGAAACUCACACGAGUUUGUAACUAGUUUUCUGCUGUGUAAAGGGGAAUGCACUCUGCUAAGUAAAGGAACUUGCUAGUGCAAGUUAGGAAGGAUAUUAAUAAACAAUAUAUCCUCUCCUGCCAUCCUGAACAUUCCUACAAAAUUGAGGAAAUUAGGAUGAAAUGUGGUGAACUGCGACCCUGUCUUAUUUUCAAUGUAUUCAGUGCUGCUAUGGCAAAUAUUCUCAGUUGUUCCUUUUCAGUUUGAUGUGCAAUCGAGGCAUCUGAGAAACCUCUGACAGAGGCAUGGCAAGGACAAGAAGGGAAUGACUACCCCAAGAAUCAUUGCAACAGUUUUAGUGAUUUAAUUUUAGAUUUAGGUUGAUACAUAAGACCAUAAUACUCUUCUACUCGUGGAAGAACUGGGCUGAGAGACAAGUGACCCCAAAUCUGGAGGAAUUCCUCCAGUUGCACAAAAAAAACAAGGUCUUGUGUAAGACUUUGCACAAACUAAUCCUCAACAUCUUUGGUCCAUUAGCAGUCACACACUAGAGCCAGCAUUGACACUGUGUACUGUAAUGCAACCCUUGAUUAGAUUAUGGUAUUGUAUCAUGAGAAGUCUUUUACUAGAUCUUCCUCAAGAAUUCAUGGAACUGUGCUAAUGCUCCCUACUUCUCUUUCUUUGCCAGUUUUGGAUCCAAGCCAAUGUGCUUUUUUGCUUUUUUUUUUAGGGGAGGAAAUAGUGUAAUGGCAAAUGAGAUAUAACUGCAUUGCUCUGACCCUUUCUUGUCGAGUAUAGUAGACCACUUUAAUUGCAACAGAACAAAGCAAGGCUAUAACUAAAGUAGACUGCUAUGAUUGGGCCACACUUGUGAUUAAUGCAGCCUCAGGAGCUUUAACAAGAUGGAAUUUUACUUGCACUACACCAUAUUUUGGAGCUGAAAAUUAAAGUAUAUUAGUAGGGUUUAAGCAUGGAAUUAUGAUUGAGCUAUCCAUCACCGCAAAGCGUUAUCAAUCAGCUAAGGCCCAUAUAAGAUGAGGCUGAAAAGAAGAGAACUGACAGGCUUACCCAAAAGUGGAGGGAACUAUAUGAUAAAACAAAAUGUGCACAGCAAUGUGACAAUUACAGAUUCAUGGUCUGUCUGGGCAGAUGAAAUAGAAGUUGAUUGAGUGGCAAGAUUCAAAAUUAGGAGGAAACGCGUGGAUAUGGGCUAGAGAAGAAGAUGUGUGCAAGAUUGAGAGGGGUUUGAUUAAAGUUUGAAGAAUAGGAGAAAGAAAAUUGUAGCACCAAAGGAAAAUGUUGAAAAUGAGUUUUCUGAAAGACAGCAAUUUGUCAGUGCAAGCAGAAAAGGGAUGAAAAAUUCUAAUAAUCAGCAGGAAUAGGUGAGCGCUCAAGGAAAGGAGAUAACUUUUCAUGUAGUGGCAAUGGGGGUGAAGUUUCUGGAAACACAUAAGUGGCUUAGGAUUUUAACUCCCCAAAUCCUUAGGAUUCUAAACCAUAUGACAGUUUUCAAAAGAAAGUGAGAGAGUGGCAAAGGAGAAAGUGAGGAGGAAGGCAUUAAAGAGCAGAUGGAAGAGUAGGAAGGGAAAGCAAUUUGUUGCUUGGCAGUGGGCUCCAACCUGAGAUCAAGCAUUUAUUGGUUUUUAACUUGUCCCAUGUAUGUUUAUGCUUCAGAAACAUUACCAAACAUGUCACAGAAGCCAUGCCAGCCACUGAUGGAACACAUCGCUCAUUUUAUUGGUUUGUGGCUGUGAUAGUAAUUCUCUUACUGUGGGAAAAGGUGGCAAAAGGGGCUAGCAAGCAAUGCCUGGAUUGUAGACAAUAAAACAGGGAUAGGUGCUGAAGAGAACUACCCAGGAAGUUGGGCUUGGGUAUAUAAAGAGGAAGUGAUAGGAUGAAUCUGCCAGUUUUGGAUUCUUUCAGUUUCUCCUUUUCUUUCAGUUUCUCUUUUUCCAGUCUUAAGUUCAGUUCUUCUCAUUUCCCCACCAGUUUGCAAUUUAUUUUUAAAGUCUUUAUGAAAAUUCAUCAGCUGUUUAAUGUAAAUUUCUUAUAAUAUGUACUUCUGAGUAGGCAAUGUUGUCCAAUAGACACAUUUUUGCAAAACAAUGUUCCCUAAAAUAAGGUAUCUUGCUAUGUUAUUUACACCAAUAUAUGGGUACUCCAGUACAUGCAUUUUGUUUACAUGCUACUUGUCUAGAGAACGUCACUGCAAAAUCUGGAGAAGUGCAAAUUUCAAAAGAUUACUGUAUUUCCCUUCUCAUAUUGUUUUGGAAAUUGUGAAUUAAGUAGGUGCACCUUUAAAUGCAGACUGGAUUUAAUUUCUCCCCCAUCUCUGAUCAGAAGAAGCCCAUAAUGAUGAGUGGAGUCAUCCUCCUAGGUUACUGUGACAUGCUCUGGCACUACACUGUCAUUUACAUUUCCCAUGUCUUACCCUUACACGUAAUCUGUAUACAGAGGCGUACUUAGGCUUCUUUGCGCCGUUGGCAAGGAGCUGUACCGGCGGCGCCCCCCCAUCUCCAGAAAUUCAGUCAUCACAAAUGACUCUUAAACUAGAUGUUUAGCAACACAAUCCUAUAAAAUGUCUACGCAAAACUAAAUCUCAUCGAGUUCAAUGGCAAGCCACAGGCAAGAACUUCUGACAAUACCUCGCUUGUCUUUCCAUUGGUUCCAACAAGGUGCCGGCAACUUGGAGGUUGCGUUCCAGUGCAUACUUUACUUGGAAGGAAGCUCCACUUAAGACAACGGCCUUGACUCUCUGGGGUAAGCAUGCAGCGGUGCGCACACCGGAAAUUGGUUAAGGCAGGAAAGAAGCCAGGGAAAAGCAACUUGGCUGUGGUAAAUUAAGAGCCUCAUCUGAUGUUUCUCCAUCACCACAUAUGCUGAAAGGCCGCUCUCGGGGCAAGCAGGGGGAGCGGAGGGCAGGAAGCAGUGGCCGCGCUAGAAUGGAGGGCCAAGUAGCGGGGUCUUCAUGGAGAGUCCCACUGCACAAACUAGCCACCAGUGCUUCCGGCAAACUGUGGAGGUGGCUCUGCAGGGCUGCUGCAACAGCUCACGUCAAUGUCCAGAUUGCUCUGCCAAAGCACCAAGAGAGGUGCAAUUUUUGUGCCUCCCCCUAGCCUGUGUCGUUGAUAGGGCCAACCUGACCAACUCCUAGGUAUGCAUCUCUCUGUAUAUCAUGGAAUGCUUAUUGUAGUAGUAGCAGUAGUAAAACUCUUGCAAUAGUUUGGAUCUGAUUGCAUACAGCUGGGAGGCAAUCUGUGUUCACUUUUACCACUGCAUACUCCACAUAAAGAGCAAGAGAAAGCAAAGUGUGAAGCACUACAAACAGAAAGUAAUGUUCAGAUGAUACUGUGCAGUUUUUGAACACUCAGGAUUUAUUUAUUUUUUUGGUAGUGUUCUGGUUGGAGAAUGGUUGUUUCUACUCCAGGCAGGUUCACACAUGCAAGUUUAUCACUUACUUUGGCAUCAUUAGAUAAAAACUUUGAUGUGUGAUUGAGCCAUCAUAGAUCAAAAUGAGAAAUUUUAAAAUCAGCCUCGGUCAGCCUUCCCCAGAUGCUGUUGGACUACAACUCCCAUCAUCCCUGUCCACUGGUCAUGCUGGUUGGGGCCUAUGAGAGUUAUAGUCCAAAACAUCAGGAGGACAUCAGAUGAAGGAAGGCUGGUCUAGGUAAUCUGAAAUACCAUAUUUACUAUAGUAAAAGUCAGUCCACACCUUCAGCUGCCAAUCAUCAAGUAUAAGAUGGAGUUAAGUGAUGUAACAGGCAUGUGUGCACCAUGGUUACUUUAUGUGAGAUUAGAAUACUGUGCAUCUGUACUGUGUGCAUACUACUAGAAAGUUCAAGUUAUAAUCAAAGCACUCUGGUAACAUUUGAACAAGGCCUCUGCUUUUUCUUGGGGAUUAGAGUGUGCAGCAAGCUUUUAUAUUGCCCCUCUCUUUCAGUAAUAAAGAGCAGGGUUCCUCUCUGCUUUUUAUCCCGCUCGCUACUUACCAGCAUAUUUUUAAUCUCUACAUCUUUCUAUUCAUGCUCUACAAAGGACCAACCCUCUGAUCUAACAGAGGACAGGCUCUUGAAAGUGCCAUGCAAAAUUCUGCUGUGCAGAUUUCUAAAUCAAAGGUUAUGUUGAGCAAAAAGAAUUGGGCUGAGGAAAAUUAUAUUUUGAAGUCUAGACUGAAUCAAUGGCUUUAGAGGGUAAAAUGUAAUUAAAAGCCUGGAGCCAGACUGAACUACCAUGGGUAAACCAAAAUUAAACAUGAUUACAGAGCCAUCUGAUAUAAUGAGAUAAGUUACAUAAAAAUUAGGCAUAGGGUAUAUGACAGAAGCAAAUCAACAGAAGGUCCUUAGGCACCCAUCAGUCCUUGUACGUUUUUAUGUCCUUAGCCAAAAAAAACCCAUCCAACAUUUCUGAUAGUGUAGGAGAAGGGAGCCAGUACUCAUGAUUAACAAAGCCUUGCAGCAAAAGUCUAAUUGAUAGGCAGUGGGGACAGGAAUUUGCAGCGUCUCGGCACGUGAUGACAUUUAUUAUCUAACGAUUAUAAAUUGCUACAAUGGCUACAUUGUUACAGGAGCUCUUUUCUAGUAUUACAAAUGAUUGCAAGUUUUAGGUGAAGAGAAUCUGCAUGUAGGAUUUUGCUUCUUGUCCAGAAAUGAAGAGUUAGAAUGGAUAAUAGUUAUGCCAUAACAUCUGCCAAAGGAGUAUUGGCUUCAAUCCAGUGCUGGGUUAGGCAUGCUUAAGCCCUUUGAAAUCAACAGGUUGCAUUGGAUUGUGGCCAUUGUAGAUACUGAAGUCAGUGUGAAAAUCCAUUAGGAGCUGCUGCCUUCUUCUGAAAGGCAUUUUAUGACUGGGAGGCAAAAAAGUAUUGCUGCACAAAGUUUGGAUCACUGAUGAAAGAAACUUCAAAUGUAAGUGCCUGGAGGGUAGCAGAAAACAAAGGCUACCCUUUGGAUACUGCCUAAAUGCAACCAAUAAAUAGAUCAAAACAAAGUUGUGUCCUUGCCAAGUCAUGAAAGCCAAUACCAUAGGGCAGGCCUUCUUUCGUGACAAAACUGAUAGUGUAAUUUUUAAUGUUUGGGUUUAUAGAGGAGCCAGAAGUGUUGGUAAUCUGUGUAAAUCACACACAGAGGGAAGGUGGGAACUCCUGGAUCUGAGAUGAAAACUGCAUGAUCAUCGAAAGUUCGUAUUAAUCUUCCAGUUAAUUAUCCAUCACCUAGCAAUAAAAAUAAUAAUUAGUUAUUAAAUUUCUAUACUGCCAUUCAUCUGGGGAUCACAGGGCAGUUUACAAUAUAAAAACACUAUCACUAUAAUAUUUUGCCUCUUAAAUUAUAACACUCUGGACAGCUUCUUUUUGCACUUGUGUUGAGUUGCAGAGGCCAUCACUCUGAAGUUAGCUUUGUAUAGCAGGAACUACCACAUAACAAUGAAUUUUGCAAGUACACCAAAGUUUGCUGAAAUGGUGGACUAAUUUGGUGGAGUGAGAAAGCUUCUAGCUUUUUGAACAUUAUAAAAAAACAAAGAAACAAUGCUGGCUAAAUGACCCAUUUCUAUGAUAGCACUCUAGGAUAGUGGACAUCGACCACGGAGGGAAAUGGACAGUCACUUAGGGCAGGGUUCAACUAAGUUUUUGUAUGCAUUGAAUGAAAUCCACUCGUACAAAAGAACUCCCCCCACCCCACUUUCUAAAUCUGCUCUGAAGGGUCGGGGGAACCUCCAUAACAGGUUUUAGGGUGUAUGUGUGCGGGGUGGGGGUGGGGGGGAGAAGUGAAAAGUCUUGUUGCAUGAGCAGACCUUGUUCUGAGCACACAUGCCCUGCUUGGUGCUAUGUUGCAUUCCAACCUGAGGAACAUAAAGCACUCUGUUGAACACUUUCUUUGGCAGUAAGUGCCAUUGAACACAGUACGACUUACUUCGUAGUGGCCAGAUGAAAAACAGGGUAGGGCUCCUGCAUCUUUAAUUGUGUAGGUGUACCUAGCAGUCAGAUGGUCGGCGGUUCGAAUAUCCACGAUGGGGUGAGCUCCUGUUGCUCGGUCCCUGCUCCUGCCAACCUAGCAGUUUGAAAGCACAUCAGAGUGCAAGUAGAUAAAUAGGUACCGCUCUGGCGGGAAGGUAAACGGCGUUUCCGUGCGCUGCUCUGGUUUCGCCAGAAGCGGCUUAGUCAUGCUGGCCACAUGACCCAGAAAAACUGUCUGUGGACAAAUGCCAGUUCCCUCAGCCAGUAAAGUGAGAUGAGCACCGCAAACCCAGAGUCGUUUGCGACUGGACUUAACUUUACCUUUUUUUUUUAGCUUGUAUGACAAUCAUAACUUGCCUUUCAAGCUCACAUACAGAAGGUUGCUCUUGAAAUGAUUCAGGUGGGGUGAUACAAGGAGCCAAUGGCAAAUAUUUGCCUGUGUUAACUUAAACAAUCUCAUUUCAUAGAGCAUGGAUUUCACAGCUUGGAGGAAAAGUGCAUUUCCUCAAGGUACACCAUAUAAGGCAACCAGUGUGAAAAAAUGCAAUGACUCUACUAGAGGAGUCAAGGUGAAGGUAAAGGACCUCUAGACGGUUAAGUACAUUCAAAGGCGACUAUGGAGUACAGCGCUCAUCUCGCUUCAGGCCGAGGGACCUGGCGUUUGUCCACAGACAGCUUUCCGGGUCAUGUGGCCAGCAUGACUAAACUACUUCUGGUGCAACAAAAUGUCAUAACGGAAGCCAGAGCGCACAGAAACAUUUACCUUCCCGCUGCAGUGGUACCUAUUUAUCUACUUGCACUGGUGUGCUUUCGAACUGCUAGGUUGGCAGAAGCUGGGGCAGAGCAAUGGGAGCUCACCCAGUUCGUGUAGAUUCAAACUACCAACCUUCUGAUCAGCAAGCCCAAGAGGCUCAGUGGUUUAGACCACAGCAUCACCCGUUCCCUGGAUUAGCAGGCUGGAGGGGGCGGGAAGGUUUCUACACUCUGCAUAACAAAUAAGUAACAACUGCACCAUUAUUGUUUCUGAAACUUGAACAUCUGGAAAAAAGUAUAGUUCAUGUAUUUUUCCUGUUUGUGUUGAAUUAAACAACACUGUGUUACAUUAUUUUAUGUACUGUAUUCUCGCCCUUCACCUUUCUGUGGAUUCUGAUAAUUAGGCUUCAUUCUUGGACACAGUCUUAUGAGCAAGUGGCAAUCUCGGCAAAACAGAGAACACUGUAAGGCCUUUGAGAUAUCUGAGGUACAUGCAAACAUUUUUAUAAGUUUAUUUUAUAUGAAUAGCACUUCUGUGCAGGAGUAACACAUAUUCAUUGUUAUUUAUGGAUCAGACAUGCAUCCAUUUCACUGUGUGUACAGACAGAACAAUAGACAUGUGGGAACAUUGAAUGUGACCAUUCCUUUUUCUAUACACAGGUGUUUGCCAUGUAGGAAAUUAAUGUUGUUUGAAAUUGUUCUCACUUGGAACCCAACAAUGCAACUGGGAUCUGGACCCGGUUUUUGGCUUGAGAAAGCUGGCCGCUCUCUAUUUCAACUGGUUUGAUGUUGAAGCAGCUGGGAGCCUUUCACUGAUAGUGAUUAUAAUGAAAGCUUCCUAUAUGGCUAAGCCCCAAACAAAUUCUCUUCAAUGGUAUUGGCUUUCUUUCUCAUUUUACUAAUAGGAGUAAUGAAUUUAUCUAUCUUUAACUCAAAGUGCCCUUUGCACAGCUGAGGAAAAACAGGAUGAGUAAUUGCUACUUCUUGGUUUGAUUUUGCAAACAGGAAUUUGCUUCGUCAGCUCCAUCUAUUUGGGCUGCUUGGCUCAUGGAUCCCCUAAUUAGUUUAUUUGAUGGCUUUACCCUAUUCUGUAAUUAUACUGUAGUUUCAUUAAAGAGCACAGACCAGUUAGAUGAUCCAAUUAGUCUCAACUCUGAGCUAUGAGUGUAAGAACUUUUUGCUCCAAAGAUAAAAACCUCUUCAAUUCACUUGCUGAUGGUAACUUGGAAAGGUAACUGGUAGAGAAAUGCCUAACAUCUUUGAAGGCCACACAAUUCAAAUGACUUAGUGGCAGUAGUGGAGAUGUUAGGGUGGUUGGAAUGCUGGGUCUGAAAUCAAGUUCAUUUUUUUUAAAGUAGAAUAAUUCCUAACCACCCAAGACUGAGACAAAAUAUAAAAGCCAGCUUAAAAGCAAGAUAAGCAUCCCAAAGACCCUUCCCCUCACCCAUGGGAAGGAAUAUCAACGAAAAUUAAUCUCGCCUUUAAUUCUUUUCUAAUGCACUUUCAUCAUUAUUUGAUGGAGAAUUGUAAAAAAAGAUUUUUGGGCAAAGCACUAGCUGUAACUGACAUUUUCCCUUAGUUUUUAACACUGUAUUUACCUUUGUGGUUUCCUGUGAAUGGGCACAAUUCCAGCCAAAAGCAAGUCUUUCAGAUUCAACAAAUGUUAAAGUGUGCUUGAGAUGGCAAGCCUACAUGACCCUUUUAGGGAGUAAGUCCCAUUAAACUCAUUGGAAUCUCUCAAUAACUGGAGUUUAAUCAGUCAAUCAUAUUGUUAUAAGUUUCUGAGGUGGCUGGACUCCUGUUCUAAUUCUGGAUCCCCCUUAAAUUCCUGGGUGUCAGACAUUGAAUUUAUAAUGUUAAAAUAUAAGCCAUGCUAAAAAAUAUGCCAGACUGGCUUCUGGCGGUUCCCUCACUGCGAGAAGCAAAGUUACAGGGAACCAGGCAGAGGGCCUUCUCGGUAGUGGCGCCCUCCCUGUGGAACGCCCUCUCAUCAGAUGUCAAGGAAAUAAACAACUAUCUGACGUUUAGAAGACAUCUGAGGGCAGCCCUGUUUAGGGAAGUUUUUAAUAACUGAUGUUUUAAUGUAUUUUAAUCUUUUGUUGGAAGCUGCCCAGAGUGGCUGGGGAAACACAGCCAGAUGGGCAGGGUAUGAACAAUAAAUCAUCAUCAUCAUCAUCAUCAUCAUCAUCAUCAUCAUCUUGAUGCCUGGACUGUCCAGCUUUGUGCCCUUAGGAGGUCACUUCUGUGCUGCUAAUGCAGCUGUUUGACUUCACCUGGGAGGUGCACGCCAUUGUCUCUCAAGACAGACGGAUGCCAACAACAACAGAGACUCUCUGGGCUGGACAGCAAUUGGGGAAAGCCCUUCCUUGAGAUGUGAAACAAUUAUCAGAGUGGCAGGAGAGAGUGGCAGAAUUGCAGUAGGCGAUGAGGUAGGCAGAAGAAAAAACAGGCAAAGUAGGUAUGUGUGUUGGCAGUUUUUGGAUACAGUGUGGCAGCCAUUCACCUAUGAGAGAAGAGACCUGUAAUUCUGGGAACCUCCCCACAACAGGCUCAGGUUGUAUAUAUGUGUAAAUUAACCGUAUACCAUAAAGACACCCGUCUUUGCUGUGCUUGGUGUCCAGAAGGAAACACAGACCCUGGCUAAGUGUGCCUUGUACCUUGGAAUCUUGCACCGCUUGGAUAUUGGAGUGGAGUGUAACAGUAUUUUAGUCUUUAAUUGAUCUGCCAAGGAGCUUAUUAUAGACUGCGCUGCACACUUUGAUCUGAAGCUAGUCCCAUCAGCCAUGUUGUAGCCAGUGUGGGUUAAGCAGAGGCCAUUGAUCCUAUAUACAUAAAAACAAUUUGGCUACAGUAAAUCUGAAUUCCCUGAAAAACAAAGGCAAUUUAAUGCCUAGGCUUACGUAAGCAGUUUAAGUAAAUCGGGUCAUUAAAUAAACUCAAUUUAUCCAAAAAAGUAUGAAUGUAUAUGCUACUGUGACAAUAAUUUACAACAGGAAAUUCCAUGUAAAAAGCAAGUGAACUGUUAGGAUGAAUGCAGCCUUCAGCUGGGAGCCAGAGUGCCACAGGUUAUCCUUUAAAAAUGAAUAAGUUGGAGGUUUGAGAGACAGGUUUGAGAGUAGACAUGCUAAUUGGGAUUAAAAGAAUUAAGUUAACAUUUCCCACAGGGGAGCUGAUGUCUUGUUAUCAUGAUUACCUAGAGAUAGGAUGCACUUAUCCGUAUUGAACUUUAGCCUGGCUGCAACUAAUUUUAGCUCACCUCCUAUCACACAGCAAACUGCUAACAGUUAUCCUAAAAGAUGAUACAUGAAGAGGAGCUGUAUAUGAGCAAUAAUAUGACCGCCUCAGCAGGAGAGGUGAGAAAUAGGGCUUAUUUCAUCAGCUCUGCUGAAAGGCCAACACUGUCAGACAGCUCCUGCCCCUGAACUCUUUCCAGCUGAUCAAUAUUUAACUUUAAGAACUGGUUCCUUAGUUGUCUCCACACUCCCCUCUUUUCUUCCUGUUCCCUUUCUCUCUUUAUGCCAUGUUUAGUUUCUAAGCUUGUGGACAGGGAGCCACCUUGUUUUAAAUUGGUUGUAUGUGAACUACUCUUGGAGCGGGACACAAAUGUAGCAAAUAAAUAAAUAAAUGUAGCAAAUAAAUAAAUAAAUGUAGCAAAUAAAUAAAUAAAUAAAUAAUAAAAGAACGGAUAAUCAGAACAGAAGCCAAUACAUAUAACAACAGAAAAAAAUAAACCACACAAGGCAUUAAUAACCUGACAAAGGAAUAAGUAGGUCUUCAGCUGGCAACAAAGAUUUGGCACUAGGCCUAACUCAGAAGUGAGGGUAACUACAUAAUGAAUUUCAGCUGGUUGUGGCAAAACCAAAAAGGUCUUCUCCAACUUUCUCAACACAUUGGUGGGUAGAUACGAGGAAAUGCACUCCUUAAGGUGCAUAGGUCCUAAGUUGUACAGGGCUUUGUAGGCCAUUACCAGCAGUUCUUACAUUAGCAUAUUGGCAGCCAGUGCAGCUCUUUCAGAAUUGGUGUUACAUGAUCCCAGUAGGCUGCACCACUCUAUAGCCUAACAGGUGCACUUUGUACUAGUCUAUCUACAAGGGCAGGCCCACAUGGAGUGCAUUACAGUAAUACAACCAGGAAUGAUCACAGCUAAUGGACCAGCUGUAGCUGGGGGAAAGUGCUCCUUGGCAAUGAGGCCAAUUACACCCUCAAGAGACAGUGUUGGAUCCGAGAGAAUCCCCAGACAUACAUACCACCUCUUUCAGGGGGAGAGCAACCCAAACUCAUCUACAAUAGGUUGUGUAUCUAAUAUGAGCAUAGGACUAUACAGUGGUACCUCGGGUUACAGACGCUUCAGGUUACAGACUCCGCUAACCCAGAAAUAGUACCUCGGGUUAAGAACUUUGCUUCAGGAUGAGAACAGAAAUUGUGCUCCGGCGGCAUGGCAGCAGCAGGAGGCUCCAUUAGCUAAAGUGGUGCUUCAGGUUAAGGUACCUCAGUUUCAGGUUAAGAACAGACCUCCAGAACGAAUGAAGUUCUUAGCCCGAGGUACCAAUGUAUUACAAACCAUUGUUACACAAAGCUUUGAAGAUUAACUUCCAAGGACAGAUAAGGAUGAAGGACAGAUAAACACUUAGGACAGGGCGGUCCAACCUUUCAUACCAAGUGGGCAACAAGAGUACUUUGACACAGAACCUGUAGGCCAUUCACUGAAUUAAACUUCCAUAUCCUAAAGGUGAUCAUAGUUAUAUAUAUUUUCUAAUUGUUGUGGUUGGUAUUUUCCCCCAUAAAUGAGCGUGUACGUAUGAAGCAAGAUCAAAACUUCUAAUAAAAUUUUAUGUAAAAUGUUACCAAUAAGCAGGCUUAGAUUUUUAAGACUUUAAGAUUUUUGUUGUUGAAUGUUUCUAAGGGCCGCAGGAAAAGCACUGUGGGCUGAAGGUUGGACCACCCUGACUAGGAGUUUGCUAUAUUGGGCAGAAUUAGAUGGAACUCUAUACCAUAAGACUUUAUAUAUAUCAUUCUUUGCAGCAUAAGUGUAAAGCCAGUGUUCUGAACUCAGUGUCUCUUGCUAACAUCAGUACUUCAAUUCACAAUGUGUGCAGUCACGUCUACCAGUCUAAGACUAGUUGGAGAUAGAAGCCAUAAGAACUAAAGACUCAAGCUGACAAUGGCUGCACAGCCACCUGGCACAGCAACAGGGACUGACAGGGGGAGAAUAAGAAAAUUACUAUUUCCCCUUCAUUAGAGAGGGGCUGGCAGCUGCAUUAAAGCACAUAUAGCAGAUGCUUCUUGGUAUGGAAGCAGGAUUUAAAAGGCUAUGCGCCCACAAGCCUUCACAGUAUGAGUUUCAAACACUGGUAGUUGGUGUAGCUUUCAUUUUUAUCUAUAUUGGUGUAAAUUAGCUGCCCAUCAUUCAUUGCAUUAGUUUUGCCUAUGUCUGCAUUCUUCUGUCUCUAGUUAGCCUUGGUCUAAAAUGCUGAACAUGGAUGCUGCAAUACCAAAGUAAACUUACAUUUCGAAAUAAAUAAUUGCUGCCUCAGAGUGCAUUAAAAUGUACACUACAGGAAUGCAGUAACUACUUGUGUACCUGUCAGAUCUGAAAGUUAACUUGGACAUUUCUUCAAGCUUGAUCCCCCCCCCAUUCUUCUGUGCCAUAUUGUGCACAGUUGUAGUAUUAAGCAAAUCAAGGUUUAUAGGGAAUUCCACUUAAUGUUACAUAAGCAGGCACAUUUUUGAAUGUGCAACAGGUGUGAUAAAGCACCAAGUAUAGAUGUUUCAACCUGUCUUUUCAAAAGACUUGCAGUUCUUCUUUUCUGCUACAGUGAACUUUGAAUUAAAUUUCCAAUGUGUUGAUAAAGUCCUAUCAUGACUGCAAAUUUUAUGAAACAAAAGGGAUCACUUCUGCCUUUUCCUAGGAUCCCACAUUCAUCCUUAGGAGGUCUAUGAAAUUGAGGCAACUUCCAUUUUAUCAUUACUUGCAUUGCUUUCCCUCCGUCAACACUUUCUGGAAUUGGCCACAUGCAGGGAAAGACUAGGUAAACAUGGAUUUUUGUAUGCUGUUUUCACUUUAUAUAUUUUUAUUACUCUGAAUAUAGAGAUUUUUGUACACAUUUGAUUGGAGAGCUGUAUUACUGAGUGUGGAGAAUGCAGAUUUCAAAGGAUAGCUGGAUUUCAGUUCCUGCAUUGUUUCAGGAAAUGCAAAUUAUGUAGAGUUGCAUAAAAAUCUGAACUGAAUUGUAUUCCCUUCCCUCAUCUUUGGUUGAUAGCAUGGCAAUAUGCAACAGCCCCCCCUUUAGGAAUAUGCCGAGCUUGGCCUGUACAUUGUAAUGCCUGUCAAAUACAGCAAACCUAUUCCCUUUGGCUUUCGCAGAGAGAACUUGCUGCUAGACUUCUGCAAAAAGGGAAAGAAGAGGUUUAAAUCUUCUCUGGAGUGAGUAGGAAUGUUUGAAAGUUUUAAAGAAGCAGUGCUACUCUGGCUAAGAGCAAAAUGUUUUCAUUUGUUCAGCCGUUUCUCAUUCUCAGCUUCUCAUCUGUGGUACUGACCCCACAUUUCAGAGCUGUUGUACAUUUUACUAAGAAAGCGUAUGUGAAGCAUUUUGAUGCAAAGUAUGUACUGAUGCAAAUGAUGGUUUGUCAUAUAAAGUUUAUCUAGGCCUUGACACACCAUCAUGUAGUUUCUUUGUGGAAACAGGUUUUUGUUCUUGGAAGUUAAAUCUCUCCUUUGUCCUCUUCCUGUAUUCCUUCCAUAGGGUAGAAGAGUAGAUGUGAAUGGAAAACACCCUCCAAGUUUAGAGCAACAUUAUGAUUUCCAUUAGCAAAGUGCUUUAUUGUAUUCACUUUCACGAUAGCUAUAUGAGAUAGCCAACUAUUAAACCCAUUUUACAAGGUCUUGCACAUUGCUAGCACCUAUUUUAUUUAUUCACCUCUCUUUCUGUGAGUGCGUCGUGACAUCUGCAGUGUCCUCUUUUAAAGUAGUUUGAGGGAAGAAAACAAUCCAAAAUAGCUUCUUUUGAUUAUCAUACUGUAUUUUUAGCUCCACAUUGUUGCUAGAAUCUUCCCAGAAGCAAGGAUCUUUCCUGACCUAUCUAUGCCCCUUACUAUCUGUCAGACAUUGAUUUUCUUGUGUUUCCAACAGAGCUUGAAAUUAACACAGCUGUGCUUAUUAUUAAAAUACAACUGAGCUUAACCACUGCCUUUCCAAUGUCAUUAGCAGACUCUUAGCAAUUUGUAUUGCAUGUGCUUGCACACACAAUUUUAUUUAAAAAUAGAUGAUUAUUUAUUGUGACUCAACUUAUGGAUCUUGGACACAAAAGAAGUUUGGGUUUUUUUGUCAUUUGGAGGCCUAAUUCCAGCCCCAAUGUAAGGACAGUAUUUGGCAAGUAUGUUGGUGCCUCCCCCCUGUUCUGGCAUAAAUGUGCUCAGCAUUGGUAGAAGGCAGAAAAGCUAGGCUACACUGGCUCUGUAGUAGAGGAGCUGUGGAUAGGAACAGGGGAAGUGUGGUGCAACCAUUUCACAGCUUUAAGAUAAAAAGGAGUAUUGAAUUCACAGAUGCCAUGCAUUGAAUUCUACUUUCCCCAUGGUGACACAAGCCGCUGUUUAUUAGGGCGGUUCAUAAAAAACUUUUUUUAGAAAAUGCCUGCUCCAAAGGUCUUAUCUUACUACACUAGGGAUUAUAAAGCUAUAUCUGAAAUUUCAUGCCUUUCAGUUAAUAUCUUGACCCUCCUCCACGAAAAUAGCUGUUUACUUGGCCGUUUUCCUAUGUCGUAAAGGCUGAAAUUUCAGUUUAGUGGAGCAGGGUCAAAAUAUUAACUGAUAUGCAUGAAAUUUCACAUAUAGCUAUAUAAUCCCUAGUGUAGUAAGAUAAGACCUUUGGAGCAGGCAUUUUCAAAAAAAAAGUUUUUAAUGAACCGCCCUACUGUUUAUGCCACCAACCACAUAAAUACUUGGUUCGAACCACUCCUCCAAGUGCCAGGAAUCCAGGUCAUUGUGAUCAAGUGAGGGUUAACAUGAUUAUUAUUUUGCCUCUCUACAUCUGGUGACACAGAAUGGUCAUUUUGUAAGCAGCAUGAAAAUCUGUGGCAUACCCUGAUUUGAGUAAAAUGACGGUUUCACAUCAGGCUGCUUUACUGCAAGACAUAAGUGUUCUCCCUCUUUACCCAUCCAAUCACUUUCAUCUCUCAAAUGAUAAUGUUUUUCUCCUUCUUGACAUGGUGCAAUGCAUGAAAUGCCACCCCAGACAAUCAAAGUCUUGUCCAUUGGUUUCCAUGGCAACUGUUUUAGAUACAUGCAUUUGAACCAAUUUUGGGAGGCAGAAGGAAACCAAAUAAGAAAAUUGAAGUCCUUUUUUGCUUUUCACAAUUUGGAAAGCACAGACCUAUGUCGGAUUCUCUCUUCUCCUGCCCUCCAUGACUAUGUUGAUAUGAGAGGGAGAAGAAGAAGAUGAAAAUCUUCACGUGAAGAAUAUAAAUGCAAAACCGAAGGGCUAUAUGCCAGGUGCAAAAUGGUGACAGAGCAAAAAGGAGACACUGAAAUACUAUGUGUCGUUCUGAAAGGCAAUAUGCAAAACUAGGAUAAUUUUUUGUCCAAGCUGUCCAGAAACCUCAAUGCCUUUUCUUUUCCCCCGAGAAACUCAACCAAGCUGCUUUGGGAAACACCCAGAACUUCAGAGGAGAAGGGGUGGGGGAGGAGAUCUAUUGUUUUGGUGGAAAGAUCUAGAUUUUAAUCACAUUGAAUUAUUUUCCCAUGGCACUCCACUCACAGUGUUUUGUGGAGGGAUUAAAAACUGAGAUUCCCUAUACUAGACAGUGGGGAGAUCUAUAAUUCACCCCCAAAAAUCAGUGGGUUGGGUGCCAAAGUCCACCCACUACUAGUGACCAUUGGGAUAGCAUGACACUUGAGGGUUGAGGGCAGGUGUUAUUUUUCCACCACUCCUUUCUUCUGUGCAAUACAAUAGAUCACAAUUAUAUCCUAAAAUAUCCAUGGGGAGGAGCAGAACACCCCCCCGACUCUUGGGCUAAUAGGGUAUUUUUGGGGGAGUGAUAGUUUCCCCAUCCCAAUCUUUGAUGGGAAUCCCUGGUCUUUGCUACCCACUUUGAUUCCCAUUAUACCAACCCCAAAAUGGUAAAAGCUGCCUUGUGGGAUAACCACUGCAUCAAAUUCUGGCAAAAAAUAGAAAAGCUAUCAACUUUUCAUUUAUCUUUAUUUUAUUUUAUUUUAAACUACACUCUAAAUGUGUCCUGCAUGGAAACCUAGUACAUCUCUGCCUACAAUUUGGCAGACUUACCGUAAUUCACUCUUUGGGGGCUGCUAUGCCUCCAGAUUUCAUCCGCUUUGAAAAGGCAAAAAGUUAUUGCCGUUAUUGCAUUCCCUAUUGAAGUGAAAGGGCGAAAGACAGAGCUUCACUUUUAACAGAUCUAAGUCAGUCCCAAAUAAUGUGUCAAAUUGGAAAGAUGCAGAGUGACUCUGAAACAGAUUGAACUGCUUUCCAAAGCAAGAGAUACAAGUCAAAUUCAUCACACUGGAUCUGGUUGACUUCAAAUGGUCGCUCUACUUAGCCCUGUCCACUAGUAGUGUUCUUACUUUUCUUUAUAGUGGUGGUGGUUCCACACACUCAAAAGCAAAAGCUUUCUGCAAACAUUAGAAAUCACAUAUGGCUGUGCCAGGUAAUUCAUGUGCCAAUGUUUCCCCUGCCUUUCUGUGACAUUGAUGACACAACUGCUUUGAUGCGAGAGCCAGGCCUAUUGCCAGCUUUUCUUUCCUGACUGCCUUGAGUUCCACACACAGCUUUUCAUUUCCCAAAAUUUGCCCUUCGUUUGUGAUAUGAGUCCACAUAUAUUUUUCAUAAUAUGAUCACAAGAAAUACAGAACUGUGUCCUUUUGCAAUGCCUGCAGAAAUUAUGUGACUCUGUGAUGCAAUAACAAUGUUAGGUAUAGGUGUUUUAAAGAGGAUAGCAACAGGAAAGGGUGUGGCCUGGUCUAUGCAAUCAGGAGAUGAGAUGACAUGGGGAAAAUAUUCAUGUUUCAGACUGCAGGUGGUAUUGGUAUAGGGUGGUUACUUGCACCUCAGAAUACAGGAAAUGCAAAAAAGAGGACAAAAAAGACAUGGGUUUAUAUAAAGCUUGCAUAUUGCUAAUUUAUAUGUAUAGAUGCAAUUUUACACUUUCUAUAAUUUAAGAAGAAAUAAAAUACAUCUCACCAUAAUGGGGAAUACCAGAACCUGUGUACUUGCUCAGUUUUCAUCCAGGCACUAAGAGUUCAUGGGCAAUUUCAAGCCCCUGCUUCCCCUUUUUAUUUAAACUUGGGUUGCCACAUUUCAUAAAGUAAAAUUACUGACACCUGCGAAGUUGUUGAGGAGACCCCCAAAAUGUUGAGCUUUUUUUUUGGGAACAAACCCAAAUUGUUGUGCUUUUUCCAUCACGUUGGCAUACAUCCAGGACAUGUCAGACUUGGACUAGGUCACAAUAAGACACAUUACCACUCUAUGUAUUAUAAACAAUGGCUACACAAUAGUAUGUUGCAUAAAGGGCUAGGCUAGAACCAUAAUAAUAAUAAUAAUAAUAAUAAUAAUAAUUUUAUUUAUACCCCGCCCUCCCCGGCCAAGACCGGGGAGAUUUAGUAUCUUAGGGAGUGUCUUGUUUUGCUUUGUUUCAUGGGGGAGCACUGAAUAACGAAACACUCUUCCUCCAGGAAGCACCAGGCAACUUUCCUCUGGCCUGAAGGAGCAGGUAGCAUAUGUGCAGCUGCCCAGUGGUGAAGCCUGGUAGUGCAUGCUUGUUGUAAGGAAUCCCAGAGGCAUCGUUGAAAGGGUUGCCAUAUUUUGAAGAGCAAAAAAGAGGACACAUUUGCCAACUUCUACUUUUAACUAUGGAUCGCUAUGACGACUCUACCCAUGAAAAAGAGGAUGUGUCCUGGAAAAAGAGGACAUAUGGCAACCUGACUUGGAUGCUGAGUGGUGCUGCAGUAUGUAUAUGUUAACCAACCAGUGCUGGUAGGGGGCUCCUCCACAACCACCCUCACAAAGUAAGAAGUGUCAGACCGGUUCACCUUGAACACAAUGUCACUAGGAAUACAGGUGUAUAGCUGUGGUCAGGGAAGUAUCUCUGAGAGGACAGAAGUAAAUUAAAAUUGGGAACAGUGGUGGACUUUAGGCUCUCAAAUUUCAGCAGCACCCUGUGUGAUGCUUAAAUUCAUGCCCCCCUCACCUCUCAUGCUCCGUUCUACAUCAUUGCUGCAGCACCCCCUGCAGUGCUGGUGUCCAGUGCAGCCGAACCAUUCGUGCUACCCUAAAACCACCUCUGUUGGGAACUACUCUUUUCCAUGGUAGAGUAAAAGCUGAAGAGCUAGUUGAUUGUUGUUAGACCUUGUUAUAACCAGGUGUGUAAGAGCUGAGCUAUUGCUAUGGUGGAUGCUAAAAGCAGGGAUUUGUUAACCCACAUAGAGCUUAUGCUGCAGUUUCUAUUGGCUGAAGUCACUAGUAAAUGGACUCAUCCUUUUUGACCGAAAUCACUACCGGAUGGAGAGGUUUGUAAUCCACCCUAGUAUCUGGGGUGUUGCUUGCACUUCCUAAAGGCUGAAGUGGCAAAGAACAUAAGGAGCUGCAGGAGGCUCUCUGUAGCCACCUGCCUUUGAUUGGAUGAAGUAUUUGCAGCACACUCAAACUCAUUGCUGUCACCUGUUGGAGAACUUAUAUUGCAACACUCAAGUUUUUGCAUUUUCAGGGAACAUGCAAGGGGCCUUGCUUCACUAGCUGUGUUCUUGAAUCAACUGUAAGGCCAGAGGUCAUAAAGUUUCAUUGGCACACUUGGACAAUGGAACGAGGUGAGUUUUCUUCAGCUUUAUGGUUUUGUCCUAGUUAUCAGUCUCCUGUUGUUGAUGCUGCUGCUGUUUAUUGACUUGAAUAAAUAAUGUUGAUUAGCCAUAACAGCAGUGUGUGUCAGUCUGCUACCCAGACCUCGAAAUUGAGGUCUGAGAGUUUCUGAGUGGGAGCUCCAGCCAGAAUUGAGUGCAGUACAAAAUGAAGGAAGAUAACCCUUUGGCACUGAACCUGGCCAAUGGACGUUGACCCAAGGCUGAGCUGACAGAUAGUCCGAAGGUGGUAAAGACUUACUAUAUCUUGGGAGAGAAUCCUAUUGGUGGCAAAUGGGAGGAUGCCAUUAAAAGCAUAAUAGUGGCAAUAAGUUUGAAUGAUAGUAUAAACUGCAAAAUAAAACAAAGGUCUCUCGUUAGCUGGCAAAACAGUUGCCAUUUCCUAUUGAGGGCAUUAACCUAUGAAUCUAUGGCUACAGUUUGUGUCUUUUGAAUUCUAGUAACAAUUUAAAUCUGCUCUUUGUUCAAGUGUGUACAUUCUGCCCUGGACUCCUGACCUAACAUCUAACAAGACAACGUUUUGCCAAAGGGGGACUGUGUACUAUAUUGCUCAGCCAGAGGGAAAAUCCAGUGACAUUACAAGGCAUAAGCUUUAAUUAGCAGCAAGGUAAUAGAUAGUUUGCACAGUGUGCUGACUACUGAGCAUGUUCCUAGUGAAGGUCACUGCGGCCCAAAUAGUCCAUUGAUUAUAAGACUGCACCUGAGAGGGGUUAAAAGUUUUGAACUCUAUGAAGUUAAUAUUGAUUUUUUUUCUUGAAAGCAAAUGUUGCUCACAGUAUCUCUCAUUCAGUAGGUGGUGAUUCCCCCCCUCCUUCCAGGAGCUCCAUAUAGGUUUUUUUUAAAAAGUGGUUGGAUUUUUCGUAGUCAGUUAGCGGGGUGGGUGAGGGGAGGAGGCUGUUGCCAUGAGACAACUGAUGUCUAUGAAUGCUGUUGGUAGCAUAGCUGUUAAUUUGUAAUUUUUCACCUGUGUUUCUUUUCUAUUGUCUGCAGAUUUCCUGGUUCAUAGUAAAGCUUUUAUUUUAAAUUUAUCAUAAAAUUUAUUCACUGCUUGAUUGUACAGAAAAAUCAAAGCAGUUUUUCUUAGGGUGUGUGCUUCUAAUCAAUCACUGUUCUGACUUCACUCAUUGGCUAAAACACCGAAAGGUAGAAGCAGAUUCAUUUUUCACAAUGCAGUGGGUUAUAAUGGUGCCUGCACAUUUUGCUUCUUAAUUAUUGUUCUACAAUGGCUACAGAUGUUGUGGUGGUUGUGGUUGUUGUUAAAGUGAAAGCUCAGAGUCUGUCCUGCCCCACAGCUGACUUUUUGACCUGAUAUAGCAGUAAUUCUGCUUUGACCUGAUACAGCAGUAAUUCCUGUAUCCCUUUUUGGUAGGAAUCUCUUGCCUUGAAGUGCAACACCGUUUUUGAAGACUGGGC
rnacentral:lncRNA from 1 species